rnacentral:lncRNA from 1 species
AAUUAUAAUAUGGGAAACUUCAAAAACCACCCAUGUGGUUUCAUACUGUUUCAUUUUAGUAUUCUACGAUUUAUAGUGUAUUAAUUUAGUGCCAUGUGAUUUUAUUUUUAUUUUUUUAUUAUCGAUUCUAUUAAUUUUUUUUAUUAAAUUAAUGACAAAGUUAAAACUAAAAGAUAAUAAAGUGAAUAUUCGAUAAACCUAGGUGAAGUAUCUGAAGUUUUUUAUAUAUAAUUUAACAAAAUAUUAACGAAGAAGCUGACGAAAAGAUACAAAUGAAAUCACAGAACACUAACUUGAUACAGUUUAAUAGAUAGGGUAGUAGAGUGAGAAAGUGCGAAAUCACAGGAGCGGUAUCUGAAGUUUACCCUUAUAAUAAGAAAAAUGUUUCUUGUGCACCUCAAGAAGGAUGUGCAUCUUAUACCCACAAUUUUAAAAUUGAUAAAAAUUGAAUUAACUUUUUUAAAAAAUUUUUAAAAACUAAUGUGACAAAAAUGACCUUAGGAUGAAAUGAGUGUAAGAUAUACAUUCUACUUUAGAGUGUACCUGUAGCAAUGUUCUUAUAAUAAAUAUAAUAAACUUCAAAUAUCAUCCAUAUAGUUUCACACUUUUUUACUUUAGUAUUAUAUAAUUUAAAGUGUAUUAUUUUAGUAUCGUGUGGUUUUAUUAUUAUUUUUUUUUCUAUUAGCACCUCUGUUAACUCUUCAUUAAAUCAUACACAAAAAACUUCAGAUACUCCACCUAUGGUUUAUUGAAUAUUCACUUUAGCACCCUGUGGUUCACCGAAUUUUUACUUUAAUAUUCUAUGAUUUUAACUUUAUCACUGAUAUAACGGAAAAAUUAAUAGAGAGGAUAACGAAAAGAGAAAAACGAAAUCACAAAAAACUAAAGAGAUACAUUUUAAACUACAAGAUACUAAAGUGAGAAAGCACGAAACUAUAGUGGUGGUAUCGGAAGUUUUCCCUAAUAAAUAUGCAUAUAUAGAGAGAGUUGGAUGAGAAUGUUACCGAUAGCAAACAGACUUUAUUUGUACCAAUUUAUUUUUGAUAAUAUGACAUCUAAAUCGACGAUCGGGACUACUGAAUAUGAUUUAUGCUAUUUGAAUUAUUUAAAAAAUUAAAUUUUAUAUUUUUUUCAACAUCAUUGACCGAAUGAUUAAAAAGUUGUAAAAUUUAAAAUUUUAAUAGUUGAUAUGAGGCGUUUUCUCGUUUAACAGUGUGAGAAAAAUCUAAAUAAGAUAAAUUUUUAUUAAAAUUUUUAUAAAACUAUUUAAAAUAAAAUUUAUAUUCUUGAUCUUGAUUAUAAGACUCAUAUCAUCACUUUUUAAAGGAUAUUCAAUUUCAGCUGUUCAAUUUUGUGUCUACUUAAUUGAUGAAAAAGAGAACAAUAUAAAAAAAACAUGAAUUUGAUUUUCAAAUAAUUUAAAUGUCUUAAAUUAUGUUCAACGGUACCGAUUAUCGAUUUAAAAGCUCCAUCAUCGAAAAUAAAUCGAUAGUAACGAAGACUAUUUACUACUGAUAGUAUUUUAGCUUAACUCUCUUUCUCUCUCUCUCUAUAUAUAUAUAUUAUAGAUAAAAACGUACAAAACGUUUUUAAAAUAUUAUUUAUUUUGAUCUAAUUAUUUUAUUUAAAAAAACCAUUUAUUAUCUCAUUUUUAAUAUAUCUAAUUUGAGUUAGUUAAUAAUUUUUUAACUUUAAAUUUGUAAUGUGUCCUUUAUCGCUUAAUUAGCUUACUUAUAUAAUUCAUGCAAUUAUAUUUUACUAAAUUAAAUAAUUCGUUUAAAUUUCUAUAUAAAAAAAAAGAAAUUAAAUAAUUUUAAUUAAAGAAAUUAAAAGGCAGUGUAAUAAAAUGGAAGGACAAAAUUCGAAAAAGUUUGGAGAUGUUUGGUUUGGCGUAAAACACAUGAAAAAAUUAUUUUUGGUAUGAAAAGUAAUUUUCUAUUUAUUUGGUUUGACGUGAAACUAUUUUUUUCAUAAAAAUAUUUUUUCGUAAGAAUAUUUUUACAGAUUUGGUGAGAAAUUGAAAUUUUCAUUUUUUGCUGUUUUUCGGAGGAAAAAGAAAAUACAAAAAUUUUUAUUUAUUUUUUCCAUCAAAUCAAACAAAUGUGAAUAUUUUUUUUGCAACUAAUUAAACAAAUGUUGAUGAAAAAUUAUAUUUUUUCCUACAAAUCAAAUACUACAAAAUGUGAAAAAAAAAAUACCAAAAUUUUUCUCACGAAAAAUUAUUUUACCCGGUUUUACGUUGAACCAAAAGGACCCAAACAAAUCCGCAAAAAUCGUCAAAUAAUUUUGUUUUAUUUCUAAGAAUAAAACAAAAUUAUAUUCGAAGUAAUAUAUAUAUCCAAAUCAAAAAAAGGACUAAAAGAAAAUUGUUGAAAGUCCAAGGUUUGGCCAAGGUCUUGUGUGAUCCCUCGUGAGUUCUCCACAUGUUAUGCAUAAAUAAUCGUGCAUGAUUAGUACGAUAAUUGUUUGACUUUUUUUUUAUUUGUAAAAAAUUGUGCACAAGCAUCCCCCACUGCAGAUCAUUUUGAAACGAAAAAAAACGAAUUUUGUGUGCAGAAUUUUUCUAUGUACAGAAUAAUUUGGCUGCUCAUUGGCAAUAUUUUAUAAAAUAUUUUUUUAGAAUAAUUAUUUAUGGCCUUUUGUAAAAAUAUCAAACAGUAAAUAUAUUUCUGCAAAACUUAAGUUAUCAGAUUUAUGACUCCAAAAGUCUUUCCAUCUACAAAUAUAUUCCUUUGUUAUUAACAUUUAUAUAAUCAUGAGUUGAAAACAAGCUAAUCUUAGUUAGUUAAGAAAUAAAAUACUCUUUUUACCCCAUAUAUAUAUAUAUAUAUAUAUAUAUAUAUAUAUAUAUAUAUAUAAAAUUUGUAUUUUAAUAUUGAGUCUCGUCAUCUUUCUUACUUUCUCCUCUUUCUCCAUAGCGAUGGUGAGACUUACGGCGGCGGCGAUGUCGAAAGCGAGGCCCUCAUUCGCGAUAAGAAUGUAGUACGCCGCACAUGCCGUGAUGAAGAUGAGGAGAGAGAAAAAAAACCUCUCUCUUGAAAUCAAGAGAAGACACAGGUUGAGAUUUUCAUUAUAAUCAAAAUAGUGUACAAAAUAUAUCUCUUUCUUAAAACCCUAAUUCUAAAAAUACAUUCAUACUUCUUCUUAUCUAAUGCAACAAAUGAAUGGAACAAUAAUAUAUUUAUAACAACAGCUAAAUUCUAAUAUAAUUAAGAAUACAAAUCAGCUAGAAAUAAUCUCAAUAAAAUUGUGCAUAAUUUAAAUUUAACUUAAUGGGAUAAUUAAAAUAAGAUAGAAUUAAGAAACCUCACGUUCUAGAACUCGAGAUAUAUCUAACAGAAACUUUUAUAACUAAGCCUUAAAAUAAAUAAAAAAAUUAAGAGUGUGCCCAUUAAGUCAAGUAUAAUUUUGGGCCCAAUUCCAAAAAUGGUGAUGGGUGUUAAUAUAUUUUAUUUUAUUUUAUUUAAAAAAAAAUACUAAGAAGUGGUGCAAAGUUGCUCGUGACCUUCUCCCACUACUUCUCCAAUAAUGGAAGAGCACUUCCAUUUUCCACCUGGCCUAAGACAACUCGUGGGAAUGUUAGGUAGAGAUCUAGCACCAACUUUUUUAAGGGCAUAAAAAAUUAAAAAUUAUUUUUUAAAAAAAUUUUAAUAGAAAAUAUACAUAGGUUAAAAUAUAGGAAAUUUUUUUAUAUAAUAUUAGUUUUUGCACUUUACUAUUUUGUAUCUCCUUAAAAUUUAAAGUUGUGGUGCUUAAGUUAGUAACUAUUACGCCAUUAUUCUGUGUAUAAAUGGUAUGGUGCAACUGAAUAACUUACUUGAGAUAUCUAUAAUACCCUCAGAAUUGAUAGGACUGCGUAAGAAUCUUUUAGCUUUUCGCAAAUUAGGUAAUUUUAUGAAGGAUAUUUUCUAUUAUUUACUAACUUUUUUUUUUUUUUUGUAAUUCUUUAGAAUAAAAUGGGUACAUUAGUAGUUAUCCAGUUGUAUCGUAUGAUAUGUGCAUAGAAUGGCGACAAGCAGUAAUGGAGUGAGAUUAUAGGUGCUAAAAUUUUAAAUUUUGAGAUGACAAAGUAGAGGAUUUUAAAGAAUAGAGAGGUAAUUAAAGUGCAUAAACUUGUAGAAGAGAUGUUUGUAUUUUAGUUGAAAACUAAUAAACAAAAAUGUGAAACAAUCAUUAUUCUCUAAACGCGAUAUGAAGUUGUCGGAGAUCAGCGUCUUAGUUAUUAUAUUUUCUUAAAUCCAACGUACUCUCUGCUCUCUAUCAUGAUGAGAUACAAUAUAUAAUAAUAGUUAUUCUGCAAAAGCUUAAACUACUAGAUACUAGAGGCUUAAUUAUUUUACAUAUUUAUAUUCAAUAAUAGAAGGAGUUUGAUAUUGUCUUAUAAAAGCUUAGAGACACUCUCUUGUCUCAUUUUCAUAUACAUUGUGAGCCUUUUAGUGUCUUAGGUAUAUUGUGGCACUUCAUGCUUUAAGAUUAAUGAUUAAUUAAUUGGAUUAACAAAGCAUCUCAGUAUCUCUCACAACUAAAUCAAAGGAAAAUGUAAGAUAUAUAUACACAUGAAUAUGUGUUUGAUGUGGGUCUUAAUUUGUGAGUAGGUGACAUAAUUUUCCUAAUUUAUAAAACUGAGGUUAGUUACUCUUUUAUUUUACUACUUUUGGUUGGAUGUAAUAAUUAAUAAAUAUACCACAAGUUUGGUUUAGAUAUUAGUAAUAGGAAACAGAAUAGUUGAUUCCUACAAGGAAAAAUAAUUAAAAUAAAGUUUAAUUUUAAUUUUAAAAUGUAAAAUGUAAUUGAGUUCAGAAAAUCAAAGCAUGGAAUUAAUUAAAUCUAAAAUUGAAUCAAAUUUAUACUUAAAAAUUAACAUUUAAAUGACCGGUCAUAGUUUAUUAAAAUAUAAUUUCUUUCGAAAAGAAUGUAAAAAUUAAACUUAAGUUGGCAAUUCAAAGCAUAGAGCUAAUUUACAAUUUGAAUCCAAAUUAAAAUUUAAACAUUCAAAUCAAAGUUUAAAACUGAAACUAAAUUUGUAAGAAAAUUUUGUUUGCAUUAUUAUUGAACUGAAAUUAAAAACUUUAUUUUAAUUUGAACCCAAAAUCUAAAGUUUUUAAAUUCAAAAUAGCUAAGUUAAACAUUCUUAUAUAGUUUCAACUAGAACCGUUGAGCUAAAGUGCACCAAAUCAAUCACCACAUUUCGAUCUGCAGAUACUUAAAAGCGCACUUAAAUUGCAGUGCAGUUACAAUCACGUGCAACUGAACAGCCCCUACAUGGAGCAGUGUUUGUAACAUGGACAAGGUUUCCAUUUAAGAUCUUGUGACAUAGCUAUAAUUUACCACCUAUAUAUAUAUAAUUAACAAAAAGUUUGUACAAUAAUUAAAUAAUAAACAAUCUAAAAAGAUAGAUUCAAAAUGCUUAGAUCAUUUUGUUCACAAAUACAUAUUGAUAACCAAACCAAAUGCAAAUUUUGUUCCUAUUAAUUACUACUAUAUAACAAACAAUACAAGAUAUAUAAUGAGAACAUCUUGUCGAAAUGCAUAAAUCCACAUGUAGCAAUUAACAAGCAUAAAAAGAAAUGUGGAUUAGGACCUACUCAAUGGUUCUCGGAUAAUAUUGGAUUCUCUCUCAUACCUUUUUUUCUUUUUAUUUUCAAAAUAAACGAUCGUUUCAUUUCAUCGAAUUUGCGAAGAAAUUAAAAUGUCGUGCUCUAGAAUAAGAGGUCGAUGUAAUUUUUGAUGACCCAGUCGACGAGAACCUCGUACGCUCUCUGUGUAGGGUGGUAGCUGUCCCAGAACACGUACUCUGAAACAUCUUCGCAAAUCGUCGAAGUUAAUCCAUUGCAUAAGACCGAGACCUCGACAUCUCCUGUGCCGCAGCACCCUUUGUUCGAAACCUUGAAUCCUACAAAAUUUUGUGAUGUAUACAUAAAAUGUUGUACGUAGAAGCUAAUCAACAUGCAUGUAUCAGUCGUUACAACUUUUUAGUCGAUCGAUAAUCAUAUGAAGCAGAAGAUAUUUUAGCCAUUUGCAUCAAGCUCAAACUUCCUUCGUGCAUGCAUGCGUGCUCCUGAUCCAGAAGCACACACGAUAACGACAGGUUUUUAUUAAUUGUAUACCAGCAUGAAAAUCCAUAAAAUGUUUACUUAAUUUUGGUAAAUAAAGCUUAUUACUAUGUUUGUUUUGCGAGGUUUUCACAAGAACAAAAAAAUAAAAUAAAAAUAGAAGAGUGAAAAUGUAUAUAUCGAGAUCCACUCAACUAAAGGCCAAUUUCAGAUUGUUCACUCAACUUUAUUCGUUUCUAUUGACAAAUCUUAAAAUUUUAAUUUUAUUAUCUCACUAGUUUUAGUCAGUAAAAUUGAAGAUUUUAUCAAACUCAAUAGUGAUUAUGUUGAAUUUAAUAAAUUUACUCUUCUUUUUUUUCCACAGCUGAUCGAUCUGUUAAAUUUGAUAAUUUUUCAAAUUUAAUAAAUUUUGACUUCAAUUAAAAGUUGUGGAAGUUUCACGUUUCAAAAUGAUCUGAUACACUUUUACCAACAUUAAAAAGAAAAAAAAAAGGUUGCAAGAGACCAAAUAUUAUUACUUACCGUAAUGAUUCGGGCGCUGAAUCAUGUCGAAAAGUAUAGUGUAGAUGUCAAUGUAGACCACAGUAGAAUUUUCAUUGUGUCGAUGCUUCUUAUUAAUCCUCUCAAUCUCCUUGAUAAGGCCAUUGUUGUACAAGUUUGCUAUCUCAUUGUGCCCCCCUGCACAGUUUCUUAGAGCCCCUCCCGCUAGGGUUCUUUGGGAUGGUACACAUCCAAUUGGAGGGAUCCCCACAAAGCCGAUUUUUCGAGCGCCUAAACCGAUUAAAUCCUAGAAAUUCAAAAGAAUGUAUCAUGUGAGAAAAUGGAUAGAAUCGAAAAGUUUAGUAUAAGAGUUGAAAACUUCGCAGAACUUCGCAUAAUUGUAAAUACGAAAAAAGGCAUGCAUGCAGGUAUGUAAGUUUUUGAAUGGCGUACGUAAAUGCUCAUAAAAAUACUGUAUUGAGAGAAAAUAAAAGGAGGAUAAAAAAAAAAAAACUUAGAGGUUGCACAUUAAUGUUUACAUUUUGUUUUCAAGAAGCACAUCAUUCCUAUCAUUAUUAGUAAUGUAAGUAAAACUAGUUCCCUAGCUUUUGUUGGAGCUUCACUUAUGAUCCUCAAAAUUUAAGGUUGAACAUUCAAUAUAUAUAGCUCAUACUUUUAAAACGUAUUUUCCUUUAGUCUCUCACUUUAAAUGGGGAAAUCCAAUCUUAAAAAGUAAUUUGAAGCUAAAAAAAUAUUAUUCUGUUGGAUUAAGUAAUACCUAGUCCGAACCAAAACGAUUUGAACGCACGUGAAAAUCCGAACAAUUUGAACCUGAAAUGAUUUGAACCUCAAACCUGAGUAACCCUAAUCAGGUAAAACUAAUGUUAAUUAAGACUAUUCCUGAUCCAUUUCCUAAUAGUUCAGUCUUUUGAAUAAUAUGAUAGCAAUAGAUCCUUAGUUUGAUUUUUGCAUAUGUCUUGUUUGGUAAAUAUUUCAAUCUAUUAUUCCAACAUCUUUUUCCAUUACCUCUCCUCCGAGCGAGUCAUUGCAUGUGGUAUGGUUCAUCAGAUAUCAAAUUAACUAAUCCCAUCAUGGUUUCUUAUCAAAUCAAUCUUUUGAGUACCACCAGAAUUUGAAAUAACCCAAAUCUAGCUAGGAUCUGACCAUAGGUGAAGUUUUAGCUGUGACUCUGGGCACUGAGUAGAUUUGAUUUGUAAGACUCGCUUACAUAAAAUGAAGGUUUACUUGCAAUUAGGGGUGUCAACGAGCCGAACACGAGCAAGCUGGGGCCGGCACGAGCUGCCUCAUUAAAGUAUCGAGCCAAAAAAUUCAGCUCGUAUUCAACUCGUUUAGAUUUUGAUCUAAUGAUUCAAAAUUUAUAUAUAAAUGAGCCUUUCUAGAAUUGAGUUGGGCUUUAUAUUUGAUUUGGUCUAAAAAUCAAAUAAUAAAAAUAUGUAUUAUAUAUAUAUAAUUAUUUAUUUAUGUAUAAAAUAUAAAUUAUAUAAAUAUAAAAUAUAUGCAUUUGAGCUGUUAUCGAGCCGAACAGGAGCGAGCCGAUUCCAGCUCGUGUUCGGCUCAUUUACUAAACGAGCGACUCGAUCUCGAGCUCACAUCGAGCCGAACACGGACUUGAUCGAAAACAGUGAACUGGAUUGCCACCCCCUACUUCCAAUGCAUGUAGGUCCACACUAUGUGGAACACAAGCUGGAAAUGGCAAAAGAGGUCCCCUCAAUUAAAAGCAAAACAACUGUAGCCAUGUGGAUUAAGUCAUAUGGUCGGAGUGUCUACACGCAAAAUUGGUGAGGAGUGCCUACCCAUGCAAACAUUUAAGUCCCCUUAUUUAAUGCUUGUAGAAGAUCCCAAUUUCAGCUAACUACUCCUAAAUCUUACCAUCAAUGUGUAGGACUUUAUGGCUAGUACAGUAGUACUCUACACCAUAAAAAUUGGCCAUAUUUCAACAUCCUUGGGCUUAGUUUGAGAAUGUGGUGAUUGAAUACAUCUGUAGCGACUCGUACUAUCACUUUUAUAGCAUCUAAGAGUAGGAGUUUCAAAACACUUCUGUAUUUUUGGCAAGAUUAUAAAGCAUCAAAGCAGAAGAGUUUUGGACACUGUAUUUUUAAACUAGAACUUACUUAGAGUGACCAACUUGAACUGUAAACUUGCACGAAGAGCGCUAGACUAGGUUGUGAUUACCAAUGUGCUAAUCGGAGCAUUGCUUUCUAGUUAAAUAGAUAAUCGCAUUGGAUUAAUUAGCUUCCUAGAUCAGCUUGGAUUUAGAGAUUGCACCAAUUAGUUUAAAUAAACCCUUGAGUUGCAAAUAUCAAACCUAUUAUUCUCUCAGCUAUUCAAGAUCUUCUUAUAUAUAUUGGUUUUUUUGCUUUUCUUUUCUUUUUUUUAACAUAAAAAUGUAUAGAACUUAUCUAAACUAUGAUAUGUUUUAAUCCAACUAUCUAACAAUUAAAAGUGUGGAUUUUACUUUGUAAACUUUUUAAUUCAUUUAAUGACCCAUAAUACUUUAAAGUUUAAAUGCAUCAUUUAAUCUUACGGACUUGAUUAGUAUGUAUAUAUUCAUAUAGUUCACGCAGCUUUAAAUUUGCUAAACUAAUGGGCCUGAAAAAGGCUAAAUAAUUAAAUCAAAAGGACCAAAAUUCAGGUAAAUUAUAUAUAUAUAUUAUUUUUUUAAAAUUUAAACAUUAUUGCAUCUACAACCUUGAAACCAAAAGGUUAUUCCACAUCAAAGUUGUAGUCACCUAGCUGGCCCAAAUAGAAGGCAUGCACAUGGAAACCCUAAUUUGGUUGCCAAUGAAAAGCAUGUGAAAUGCUCAAAUAAAGGUCCUAGAGUGCAUGUAACAAUUAAUCACUUAUUGUGCUAGGGAUUCGACAUCUCAAGGACAAUAAAGGAGAAAAAAUUUAUUAGACUAGCUAUAACUCUAGUGACAAGGGGGGGCAAAAAUGAGUAAAAUUGUAGUGAUGUUUGGUUGAGGAAGAGUGAGAGUUCCAUCCAUACUCAUUAAAUUGGUAUCCUAUAGAUUUGACAUUUUAUAGGGUUACUUAUUUGCUCAAUAUUAUGUGCAAGUUUAGCUUUUUUCCAAAUUCAUUAGUUAGUUCAUACUCAAUAUUUCCGUGCACCAAACAGGCAAAAUGCAUUAUUAGGGUUUCGAUCCGAUCAUGGCACAUGGAAUGUCACCUUUUGUGUGUGUUUUGUGCGCGUGAAUAUAUCAUGUAGGCCUACAAAGCAUUUAAACACAGUCGAAUUCAUAUUCUCUUCUUUACGUAACAUAUAUCUUACCAACCGAACUGCUGGUGCAUGUGGCCACAUGGAAUGUUAUAAAUCACUACACGUACUACAACACCAUCUCAAAAAAAGAGAUGAAUAAUGCUAUUCUUACAAACUAGGGUACAAUUAUUAUGAUAAAAAUAAUAAAUGCAACAUGAAUAGUGUGGACAUAUAAAUAAGGCAUCCAAUUGGAUGAAAAGUAGCUCGCACCUUAAAUGCAGUGGGCAAAAGUACUUCUCCAAAGUAAAUGAAAGAAUUGCCCUAGAUUAUUGGCCACACAAAAACAUCAUCUUAUCCCUAUGGGUCAUUCAAAUAAUUGUACUGCUUUUACGAGUUGUUGAUAUGCGAGUUGAUAUGCGAGUUGAUAUGCGAUUUAAAGUACUGUAUCGAAUCGUCAGCAUAUCAACAACUACAGAAAAAAAUAUAUAUAUAAAGGAUAAAAAAGUAUUUCUGUUGAAAUAAAAAUGUGUACGAAACUAGUAUUGGCUAGCGAGAAUGAAAUCGAUCCAGUUAAUUUAGCAAGUUUCAUUGGUUCACCCUGCCGAUAUGAAUUGUUAAACUAUUAAUUUCUCGGUUACUUUUUAUAAUAAUAAUAAUUUGGUGGUUAAUACGGUAUCAGAAUAAGUUUCAAUUAGCCCUCUGAUCAACUCCUUUGAGAGGUCCAACGCUAUUUAAGAGCGUAUCAUUGAAUGAUGCACAUCUUUUUUCUGUACUAUUCGAUAGUGUGUACUCAAUGUUGCUUUGAGAUUUGCAUUAAGUGCCCUCCACCAGUAGAAGAGGCCCCAUCACGAUUGAAAUAUCAUUUUUUUAAUUUUUUUUCCACUUAUUGCUUAAUUUCUCAAGUGCACUUGUGUGUCCAUUAUUAAUGGACAGUGUCUAUGAGCCAAGGGUUAAAAUUGAAGUGUUGAUGAUAAUUCACUGUGUUAUUCUUAAGAUAUUGUUAGUGUCCCAAACUUGAGGGCAAUAUACCAUGUUUAAUUAAUUUACUUAAUUCAGAUACGGAUACGAAUAGUACAUUUCCAUAUAUGGUAUAAAAUAUAAAGAACAAAUGAAUUAGAGUUUAAUUAGUACAUAUAUAGUACAAAUCCUAUUCAUACCCAAAAUCUAGGAAAAGUCAAAAAUUCAUCAGUUAUAUUAAUUGCUGAUGUGGUAUCACCAACUAAUCUGAUCGUUUUUUUUAGACUUACCUGUUCGAUCAUGAUUAUUAAAAAAAUAUUUUUAUUGUACACUUUUUUCAAAUAGAAAGAUGUGUACAAACUGGUUAUUAAUAAUAUGGUGUAAGUGAUAUAUAGUAGUAGACUUUCUCCAAAUCUAAAUCUAUAUUCGCCGGGGCUAGGGUUAAGGACCUAUCUAGUCAGGAGUAGGACUGUAGGGUAUAGUACUGCUAAUAAAAGAAGCGUUACAUAAUUUUUUUCCAAUAACUUUUCUUUGCAGCAAAUUAGAAGUACCAAAUUAAAACUUCAGCAUUUAAAAUUUAGAAUUCCACCUCUUUUUUUUUUUUUUUUUUGCCGCUGCGAUGAAAAUUUUAAAUCUUUUUGUUAAACACGUAAAUAAAAUUUAUUGUUGCUGAAAAGCAGAAGCACACGGUGUCAAGCCCUAAAAAACCAUGAUUUACACCUUACACUAUUCACAUCUAGUGUUUAGAUUACCCCUUCAAAAAUUUUAGCAUUAAAAAGGAUAAAGGUAAUAAGGCCAUCGUGGAUGAUGAUACUGCAUGUAAGAUAUACGUUAAAAAGAUAAUAUAUAUAUAUAGAGAGAGAGUUAGACUGAUAUACUAUCGGAAGUACGAAGGCCUUCGUGCUAUAAAGUUAUUUUCAAUAAACGAUCGGCUCCGACAGACUUGAUCUACACUUUUGAAAGUAUUUGUAAACUAAAUUUCGUAAUUUUUUGACAUCAUUUACCUAUCAAACGAAUAGUCUAAAAAUAAACGGCUGAAAAUAAAAAUCUCAUAAAAAAUAAUAAUAAACGACUUGAAUUUAAGAUCAGAGGUAUUGAUCUUACUCUAAAUAGUGAAAUAAAAAUUUCUAUAAAACUUUUAUUAGAUUUGGAUUGUUUUAUAUUGUUAAAUUCACAAAUAUAUCACAUCGACCAUUAAAAUUGUCAAUUUUGAGACCUUUUGAGCACUAAUCAAAUGAUAUCACAAAAUUAUAAAAUUUAGUUUCAAAAUACUUUUAAUAGUGUAGAUCAAGUCUAACAAAACCGAUCGUCGAUUUGGAAGCUGCAUCAUUGAAAAUAACCUGAUAGCACGAAGACCUCCGUGCUACCGAUAGUACGCCAGUCUCUCUCUCUCUCUCUCUCUCUCUCUCUCUCUCUCUCUCUAUAUAUAUAUAUACACACACUGCUCGUCAAAAAUAUUAAACUACAGUGCUAAAUAGAGAAUAGAGAGCUUAAAAAUAAUCCUAAAUUUUUACUGUUAAAUAUAAAAAUAUUUAAACACCAUUCUCUAACAGCAUAAAUUUUUAGAGCAAAAUAGAUGUUUUAUAUAAUUUAAGCAUGAGGUUCUGGGUUCGUGUCCCGCCUAUUUAAUUCAGUUCAUAUUCUAGAUCUAUUAAAAAGUCUGGAGUCCAUACAUAAAAAGAGUGUUAAAUAUAAAAUAUAUAAAUAUCGUUAAACACUAUUUUUCUGAUAGCUUAAGGUUUUGCGAGAGUAGUGAUUGUAAAAAUUUACCUCAAUAAAAGAUGAAGCCGAGUUCAGCAACAAGUUGGCAUAAGAAGGAAUGUCAUAGCGUGUCUUCCGAAAGGGAGUGAUAAAGUAAGUGUUGGCCACAUCAUCACUCCCUGCACAAACCACAUAAAGGCUCUGGGAAACUAUUCCUGAAGCCCUCUUCUCCCCUGCAAUCGAUUUCAACUUCUCUUUGUACUCCUUGAAGAGCUCCAAUUGAUCCGGCAUCGAUAACACCGACUGAAAUUAACCGGCGAAUGUAAUGCAGAUACCGCAUGUUAAGACUAUUUCUGAAUCAUUUCCUAUCAGUAGAUAACUACGUACUGAUGUUUUUGAGACGUAUGAAAGUGCGUGUGCGUUAUUAUAGUUGAUGUAAGGAAGAGUUGACAAUGAUAGGUAUUCGUAUGUACCGCGAUCUUUGGAGUGAGAGGGUCGAACCCGGUGCCGCCGGAAGCGAAGCUUACGCCGGUGAGAAGGUCUUGAGGAUUUAGAUUCGUGCCCAGAUACGGCGGUAGCAGCUCCUUCACUCCAAGCUUAGAAGCUGCAGCAGAGAUUUUUGUAUUAAAAUUUACGUACUCGAGUAUUCUUUUAAUAAUUUAUAAAUAAAAAAAAUUACUCUAUUAAUAUCUUAAUAAAGAGAGAGAUGCAUAGAGUAUAGUUCAUUGCCUACGUAUGUAUGCGUGUGUACAUGUAUAAAGAACUAAACAUAAAUAGAGUUUUAAAAAGGGUAGUACAUACGUAGAACUUAUGUAACUAAAAAAAAAAAGUACGUAGAAGGAAACGUACUAUACAAAUAGAUGUCAAAUAUAAUCAUGGUCAUGAUCAUGAUCAUCAUCAUGUGAGUACGACAUGUUGCCCUAUAUCAUUUUCCACUAUUGGCAACAUCAAAUGAUGUCCCCAAAAAAUGAACACCAACUCCUUUACGGAAAUGGCAACGGUCACUUAUAAUUAUUAUAGAAGUGUUGUUUGAAUAGAGUUAGUUAUGAAAACUAAUAUGCGCAUACCUAUAAAGUCGGUAGGGAUUUUGCCGUCGCAGAACCUUCCGGUCGGCCUGUGGUCGGCGAAGUCGACGCCGUACGGGGGGAAAUUGCACUUGAUGAUCGUCUUGAUCACGUUGUUGUUGCCCGGGUCAACGAUGGAGUCCCCGAACACGAUGACGGCCGGCACGGUCGGCAUUGUCGUCGUCGUCGCCGCGUUUACCAUCUCAACUACUAGGGUUUGUUGCAGCGCAAGGUGAAGCGCUAGAACAAGGAUCACCACACGAAGUGAGUGGAGCUUCAUGGCUUUCUUUUUUUCUUUUUUUUGUCAAUAUAUAGUUUUUUCUUUGUUAGUGAUCGAUCUACUGAAACUAGUGCUAUAUACUAAGCUUUUUUUUUUUGUUGGAAAGAGGAAAAGGUGGCUAUUUAUGUAUGUUUAGUAGUCCGAAUCCACGUAGUUGGAUCGAGAGCACUUUGAGAGGGUUAUAUGUUAAUGGGAUGGGACAACGUGGAGCUGUGCCAAUCGUACAAAGCAUUUACUGAGAAUUAAUGUGAGUAGGUUGGAAUAGAAAAAAAAGAAAAAAAAUAUAUUUCACUCCAAAUUCUCCUCCUUUUGGGAAAAAUAUAAAUUUCUUUAAUAUGAAUUUGAGAGUAAUUGAUGCUAUACCUACUUAAUUAUACUGUUUAUAAAAUAAAAUGAGAAAUGCUAAGGUACUAGCUAGAGAUGUCCAGGGGUCAGAUUCGGAGCGGAUUUUCAAAAAUCCGAACCCGACUCCAAAUUUGAAUCCGAACCCGACGGAUUUUAAAAAUCCAUAUUCAAAUCUGAACCCGACCAAAAAUCCGAAAUCCGAACCGGAACUCGAACCAGAAAAUUUGAAUCCGAAAUAAUUAUUUAUUUUUUUAAUAUUUCAAAAUAUAUUAUAUUAAAUCUAAAUUUUUAAAAUACAAAUUCAAAUAUAACAUUAAAUUUAUAUAUAUAUAUAUAUAUUAUAUAUAAUACAAAAUAAAUUUAGGUUCGGGUCGGGUUUAGGUCGAGUACAAUCAAAAUCCAUAUCCGAAUCCAUAUCUGUCGAAUUUUUGUUUUUUAUAUCUAUAUUCGAAUCCAUAUCCAUUUAGCAUCGAAUGUAUCCGUUUUAUUCGGAUUCGGAUUUGGAUUCGGAUUCGGAUUCGGAUAAAAUAUUAGGUAUCCAUGCCCAUUGACAUCCCUAGGGUACCCCAUUGUAUAUUCUUGAUAAGUAGGUAUACAUAUAUGAAAGGGUUAGGGUUUAAGGUUUAUGAUAUAAUGAUUGCACUUAUAAUGGUUUAAUAAUAGCAUUUAAAAUUUAGUUAUUAAUGAUUAGGAUGUAAUAAUAGUAUUCUCAUAUAUAUUAUCAAUAGCAUUGUAGGGUAUACUUGGAGGUACAUAUAGCAACGCUCAAAAUAACUCAAAAUAUAUAAUAAACAUAGUGAUAUAAUUCAUGGGAAUAAUGUUUUUAAUUGAUGGAUAGUGUAAGGACCUGAUCACCAACAUUAAUAUUCUGUCAAAUCCUAAACAAACAACCAAAAAAAAUUUAAGUCCAGUAUUAAUUAAUACUGAAGCAAUCUGUUUCUUAUAUUUUCAGUCAUAAUUUUUUUUUUUUUUAUUCGGUGUCGGACUAUUAGGGCAUCACAGAUAGGUUAAUAAUUAUAAUUGUUAUAUAAUAAACUAAUAAGAAAUUGUGAAGUCAGCAUUUCUAAGUAUUUGUAGCAAGUUAUAAGUAAACGUAUUUUUUGAAAUUUUAUUUGCAUGUCAUCGAUGUAUUGCUAAAUUUUUUAAAGCAUUUUUGGACCAUAUGCUUAAACAGACUAAAAAUCUUUCUAUCAUAUAUGUCAAUAUAUCAGCAAUCAGUAAACGUAACUGUUUAGAAUAUAACAGAAGUAAAUAAAGAUAUACAAUACAUUAAUAGUUUCAAUUUAAGAAAAAUAAAAAGAAAGGCAGAGACUUUAUUGAAAAUUAGAUUUUUUGUAUCAAAAAAGCUAGUUGUACGUCUAUAGUUAGAAGUAAAUCUUGCACCCCAAGCGUUUUAAAAAUUUACAAAAAUUCUUUAUAUUUUUGGUUAAAAAAAAAAGAUAUAACAAAUAAAAAAUAAGUGCACUUGGAUGAGAGAGUCAUAAAAUUUAUACCUAGUCUAGAGGGUGUAACCCUAGCAUUAAUUUCUCUCUUCGGAUUAAUGCGAGUACUUUGUUUUUGUUAUUAUUUUUAUGUCAUACAAAAUAGUUUGGAGUCUUUUUUUGGAUUACUACUCCGAGCAUUUUGUCCUUGUCAUUACUUUUAUAUUACGCAAAAAAAGUUUGGAACUUUUUAAAUUACUCCGAGUACUUUGUUCUUGUCAUUAUUUUUAUAUUGUACAAAGAGUUUUAAAAUUUUUUCUUACAUGCUCCUGAUAACUUUAAAAUUUUGAUAUUUAUUUUUUAAUUUCUAAAAUACCCUUUUAAACCCCAAAUUUUAUUUGUAAAUGCUAGAAUUUUUAGGAUAUUUGAAAGAAUUUUUUAAAACUAAUAAAAAUAUUUUGGUCAACUAGAACUAGUAUUUUUUAACUUUUGAAAUGUAUAUAUAUUAGAUAUUAUUUCCAAAAAAGUUUUGAUGCCAAAACUUCAUAUGCUAGGUAACAUUCCCUCUUAGAGAGAAUAUAUACUCUCUCUCAUUGAUACUAGUCCUACUCUUUCUCAUUCAAUUUAUGUCAAAUUGGAGACAUUAAAAAAAAAAAAAAUUUAUGUCUCCAAUUUGACUCUCUCUCUCUCUCUCUCUCUUUCCGUGAUACACUUACUAGAGGAUGGGCAUGUGCAUGAAAACCUUCAUUAAAAUAAUAAUUUUCAUGCAAGAAUCUACUAAUUUGGUAAAUUCAGAUAUCAAUAGUUAAUUAGUGUUGUUAAAAUCAAGGUAAACUUCAAAUACUUUAUGUGAUGUUAUAUUUUCUUAAUUUAGUAUCUUAUGAUUUAAAAUGUAUCAAUUUAUUAUCGUGUGGUUUUAUUUUUUUUCUUUUAAUCAGCCCCUCCGUUAACUUUUUCUUAAAUCAUAUGUAAAAAACUUAAAUACCCUAUCUAUAGUUUAUCGAAUAUUCACUUUUGUAUCUUUUAGUUUUAACUUUGUUAUUAAUUUAACGAAAAAAAUUAGUGAAAAGAAUAACAAAAAAAAAUAUAGAGUACGAAAGUGAUACACCUUAAAUUAUAGGGUACUAAAAUAAAAAAUUACGGAGCCACGAGGUGAUAUUUGAAGAUUUUCCUAAAAUCAAUACUCAUGAGCUUUUUUUUGUCAGAUCAAUCUUUUAAGUUACAUGACAUUAAAGCCAACUGUAUGUUUUUAUUUAUUUUGUGAGGUUUAAUUUCUUGUGCUUUUCAUAUCUAUCACAAUUUAUAUUGAUCUUACAUUUAUUUUUAGAUUUUUGAUGCUAAUGAUAUUUUCAGUUUAUAAAUAAAGUGCGCUUUAAAAUUUUUGAGUUUACUUUCGAUAAUAUUUUUUUGGCUAAAUAACAGAAAAUCCUCCUAUAAUAAUCCGCUUUUUCACUUUCCCCCCCUGACAUUUAAAAGCCUACACUUUGCCCUCUUGUAAAAUGAAAAAUGUGCACUUCACCCCUACCGUUAGGGUUCCGUUAGGGGUUCUGUUAAAAAAAAAUUUUUAUACCGAAAAUACCCCUCUGCCUCUUCUCUGAUGCUUUGCUCCCUCCGGCUCGCCGCUUCGCCGCCUCGCUGCCUCGCCGUCCUCGACUGCUUCGCCCUCGCCCACAUCCCUUUCAUCCUCCUCCGCCACCUCGCCUUCGCCCUCGUUGUCCCUGUCUACCUCUCCAUCAACACCCAUAUUAGUAUCCUCCCUACUGUCGCCGAAAUCGAUGGGCGGCGACGGUGUAGGAGGAGAAGGGGAGCAGGUGGAGAAGAAAUUAGAGAGGAAUCGUGGCCGAUUGAGGUGGAAAUAGCAGCGGAUCGAAGGGGCGGCUGAGGAAGCUCAGGAAGAAGACAACAAUGGCGAGGGGCAAAAUGGUCAUUUUACACACCAUGACCUUUUUGUAAAUAUUUUUUAUUUUACAAGGGGGCAAAGUGUAGGUUUUUAAAUGUCAGGGAGGAAAAGUGAAAAAACGGGUUAUUGCAGGGGGUUUUCUGUAAUUUAGCCUAUAUUUUAUAUACUUUCAGAAAUAAAUGAGAGUAGAUUAACAAUAGUACGUUCUAGAUCACGUUGAAAGAAACCAACUAUUUCAUCUCAGACACAAAAAAAAAAAGAAAAAAAAGAAAAAAGAGAAAAGAGAAAAUAACAACCACAACAACAGCAACAACAGCAAGUUGGAUUCAUUAAUAAAUCGAGCAACAUCAUGUGGGCUUCUGGAUUUUUCUGUUGCCACUGUUUUGAAGUGAAGUUAAUUUACGCAACUUAAAACGCGGCUCUUUAAUUAAAGCACAAUCGGAUAGUGUACGAUACGAAGCUAUAUUUACCAUUUAACAUAGAUAAUGUAUUUUAAUAUUUUAUGUUCCCCACACACACACACACUCUCGUGCGCGCGCGCGCACACAUUUCAAUAGUUCCUUAUUGGAUGAAAAUAAAAUUGUGAUUGAAAAUAAAAGAGACGUACUGCAUGUGGGUUCAGUAAUAAUAACUAAGUUUAUGCAUUUUAGGUUAUAGAUUUGGGCACAACAAGUUAGUUAUUAUUAUUAUUAGCGGAUCAGUCAUUAGAAGUGUAAGAUGAACUUCAAAUUGUCUGAUGAUUUUGGACUAUAUAUAUGAUUAGGCUAACGAUAACUGUGUGUAUCCAGCCGAAAGUGUGAGAUAGACUUCACAUUACUUGGUGGAGGACGUCGUGACUUAAACGGAAGAGUUAUUAUUGCUAUUGAUUAAGCAAACGAGGACAUCAAGAGUUAAAUGAAAAAGUUAUUAUUGUUAUCGGAUCCGAUCGUUACAUUCUUGCUCUAAUCUGAAGGAGACGAUUAUGAAGUUUUGUCGCAUCUCUUUUUCCUUAUUUAAAUAGGGUUAUUUUACUUAUUAUAUUAUAUUUCUUAUCAAAUUUAGCAUAUCUUAAACACUUUGAGGACACAAGUUAGUGAGGGAGCUUGGAUCAAAUCGGGUCGAACUUUUGGUGAGGUUUAGUCCGAUAUUUACGACUAUAUGGAUCAACUCAAACCCAACUUAAUCUCCUUGGCCAUUUCACACGACGGAACAGUCAAGCCUAACUUGUUCACGGGCCGGGCAACGCACCGGAGUUCGAAGCUAAAUGGGUGGGCCUCGGCCUAACUUCUAGGGACCUAGUCCGAGCCCGGGUUGGCCCGAAAAACAAACAGACCGGGUUCGGAUUCAACUUUGAUAACUUCGGAUCCGCCUAAACACAGUGGUACAUGAGAAAUUUUCCCUAUAUAGAUAUACAAAUUUAUGUGUGUUAGAUAUACAAAUUUAUGUGUGUUUGUAGCCUAAUUGGUUAGGAUCUUAAUUUCUAACUCAUUUUGAAAGGUUAAGUGCAUGUGAUGUCGGGUUUCGGGUCGUAUAAUACCUGAUUCGGCCCAGCACAUAAACACGUUGUUUAUCAAACCGGGUUGACGCGGCCUAACUCGUCAAUCCGGUCCUUUUCAACUAAGAGCUUGUUUGGUCACUCAAUGCCAAAACGACCCGCUCCAUCGCGGGUCCUAAUGGUAUAUUGGAGCGUAGCAAUUAAUGAUUCAGAUCCGUCUCUCCAGUAUUUCAUUUUCAUAUUUGUAGAAAAAUGGCCCCUAAUAAAUGAGGGAUUUGUCCUUAUUUCUUGCUAGCGAAACCGAUACGGCAAAACAAAUCCUAAAUAGUGUGAACCGAAUUGGGUUUCGGGUCAAAAUCCGAAAAGGAACCAAAUUUGUUUGGCUUGAUGUAUUCGAAUCUACAUACACUAAAUCCAACUAUAAAAUCCAACUUUAAAAGUACUUUUCAUAUAACAAUUAUCAAAAUGAUGUUAAUUAUAUCAUACAUAAAUGACAAAUAUUAUCGCUAUACCACUGAAAGUGAAGAUGGUGAAAUUAUUUUGGGUAAACUUUAAAUAUCCCGUUGUGGUUUCACAUUUUUUCACUUUAUAUAGUACUCUGUGGUUUAAAGUAUAUCAAGUUAGUCCCUGUGGUUUCGCACUUUCUAACUUUAGUACCAUGUGGUUUAAAGUGUAUCAAGUUAGUACCCUAUGUUUUCAUUUUUCUCUUUUCGUCGGCUCCUCCGUUAAUAUUUCGUUAAAUUAUAUACAAAAAACUUCAAAUAUACCCCAACUAGGUUUAUCGUAUAUUUACUUUAGUAUUUUUUAGUUUUAACUCUGUCACUGAUUUAACGAAAAAAAAUUAGUGGAAUAGAUAAUAAAAAGAAAAAAAUAAAAUAACAUAAUACCAAAUUGAUACACUUUAAACUAUAUGGUACUAAAAUAAGAAAAUACGAAACCAUAUGGAUGCUAUUUGAAGUUUCCUUAAAAAUGAUUAGUUAAUGUAAUUGGUUUUCACCUUCUUCUUUGCUAGUGUAGGAAUUUUUAAUGAAGCAAACAUAAAAAGUGAAGCUUUUACGCCAUUCAUUUUCUAUCAAACAAAUAAUAAAAUUGAAGGGACUCCGGCUUUGACACUAUUGCUUCUUAUUUUUCAUCUAAACUUCAGUUUAAUUAAUUAAAAGUAAAUUUCAACUUAAAAAUAAGUUAUGGAUAAAUAAAUAGGCCAUUUUGAUUUUAGCUUAAAACAGGAAAAAGAAAUUAAUGAUUGUCCUAAAGGAUUGUAUACUAAAGGGUUAAUCAUAUAUGAAUUUUUAAUGAUUAUCCUAAAGUGUUAAUCAUAUAUUUUAUCCCUCCAAAAUGUAAAAUUAUAUGCCUUUUUUUUUGUAUGAAGUGAUUCAAAUAGAAUAUCACGUGGAACAGCACAGAAAGAAAAGUACAAGUUAAUUUACAGUAACAUAUACUCCAAUACAAACUUCUUUUUUUUUCCUCAGUUACAUAUUCUAACUAGUAUGAUCGAUAUAUUACUUUCGAUUCAUACUCUAAUAAAUUUUUAAAUGAAUAGUACUAUUUGGACACACUUUAGUUAGAAAUAUACAUCUUACAUCUUCAGACGAACAAGGAUCACAAAACUCGAAUAGAUUUUUGUAAAAUAAAAAAUAUGGGAAAACUUCAAAUGCCCCACCCGUGGUUUUACUUUUUCUCACUUUACUACCAUGUGGUUUAAAAUGUAUCAAAUUAGUACCUUGUGGUUUUGUACUUUUUCACUUUAGUACCAUGUGGUUUAAAGUAUAUCAAGUUAGUACCCUGUAGUUUCAUACUUUAUCACUUUAGUACCCUAUGGUUUAAAAACCAUAGGGUACCAAUUUGAUACAAAAAUAAAACCACAGAGUACUAACUUGGUACACUUUAAACUACAGGGUACUAAAGUGAGAAAGUGAGAAACCACAGGGUACUAACUUGAUACACUUUAAAUUAUAGAAUAUUAAAAUGAAAAAGUGCAAACCAACCGGAGGAGUUUUUGAAGUUUUUUCAAAAAAUAUCUUCGACAAGACUUGUUUAAGAUGUAUGAAUAAUAUUACUUUUCUUAAAUUUUAUAUUUUUAUUAAUUUUUUAUUCAUACUUUAUAUUUUUGUUAAAAAAAAUUUUACAGUGAAAAGACAUAGUGUACAUCAGAGCACCAGCCUCCACCCCAAUCUUUUUUUAUUUCUUUUUUUCUUUUUCGUUCCACCAAAAGUUGCCUAACAAUCCACAGUAUGAAUGUCAUAUAGGUACGGAUACGCGAGAUUUUAUUUUAGCUCGAAUUCAAAUAAAAUAAAUUUAUUUGAUGCUAAAUAGAUAUAGAAUAUGAAAAAUAAAAUCUUCAUAAAUUUAAAUUCGGAUAUGAAUUUUAUCUCUACCCAACACAAAUUCGAAUCCAAAUCGAACCUAAAUUAAUUUAUAUCACAUACAUGAAUUUUUAAUAUUAGAUUUGAAUUUAUAUUUUAAAAUUUUUAAUUUUAAUAUAAUAUAUUAUAAAAUAUAGUAGAGAAAAAUAAUUUUUUUUAGAUUUAAGUUUGAAUAUAAGUUUUUAAAAUUUACCGAAUUUAAAUUUUUAGUUCAAAAUUUUGGAUUCAAAUUGAUAUUUGUAAAAAAAAUUCGCCCAGAAUCCGACCUUACUGGGUGGGUGGCAGUCUGGCAGAGGGAGUCUCCAUCGAAUCUAAUAAGAGACAACUUGCGGCAAAUCUUCUUCCAAUUACACCUCUUUUCACUGCCGACCAUCAUCACCAUCAGCUGCUGCUGCAGAAGCCGUGUACGGCAGCGCGGCAUCCCAGGCCCCCCCAGGACAACAGACUGCCCGCCUGCCUGUCUUCCCUCUCAGAUAUAACUGGCAAACCUCCGUAGGAAGCGGAUCUGCUGCAAGCUUGGUUGUAUAUUAUUACUAUUUUUAUUUUUUAUUAUUAUUUUUGAAAAACAUUGAAUGGCUCAGCUGUUACUCUCCAAACAGUUGGAAAUACUUUCAAAUAUCAUUUCUGUGAUUUUACACUUUCUUACUUUAGUAUCUUGUAAUUUAAACUUUAUCAAUUUACUAUCUUGUGAUUUUAUUUUUAUCUUUUUAUUAUCGAUUCUACUAAUUUUUUACGUUAAAUCAGUGACAAAAUUAAAAUCAAAGGUACUAAAGUGAAUAUUCGAUAAACCUAGAUGGGGUAUCUGAAGUUUUUUUUAUAUAUAAUUUAACAAAAUAUUAAUUAAAAAAACUGACGAAAAAAUAAAAAUAAAACCACAGGACACUAACAUGAUACAUUUUAAACCACAGGAUAUUAAAGUGAGAAAAUACGAGACCAUAGAGAUGGUAUUUGAAGUUUAUCCUUAAAACUAAAAGUAAGAAUCUAGGUAUGCAUCAGAAAAAGAGCGCUCGUUGCGUCUAAUUUUAUUAAUAGAAAUUCUAUGCUUAAACUAAUAUCAUUUACUUAAUUAUUUAUAGCCUGAUGUAUUAAAAUGUAUCAUUUCUUAGUCAUGCGUCUAAUUUUAUUAAUAGAAAUUCUAUGCUUAAACUAAUAUCAUUUACUUAAUUAUUUAUAGCCUGAUGUAUUAAAACCAUUGGCAAUGAAAUUGUUCUGAAUAUAAGAAAUGUGACAAAAAUACGCAUGACUAAGAAAUGUGACAAAAAUUAUUUUAUUUGUAUUCGUAUGUAAUAUCACGUUGUCCACAAAAUAAUGAUACCAACAACAAAUCAAAAAAUGUAUAUGUUUUUAGGCUCAAAUACUGAAAAAAAAUCUGUAAAUUUAUGUAUUUUUACUCCUUUCCUAAUUUUUAAAAAUUAAUAUUUUGCCCCCUUAAAAUUUUAGAAAUAUUUUUAGUGGAUUAUAACGUUAAUGGGAAAGGUUAAAUGACCAAAUUGACAUUACUUGUUCCAUACAAAAAAAUAUAAUUUAUUUAUAUUUCUAUUAAUUUUAGGAAUUUUUUUACAUAUAUUAUAAAAAAUGGACGUAAUAAUAACGGAACCUGAUGGAUCGGGGCUAACUGCAUCAACUUGUAAUUUUUUAUUAUAUUUUUGUCGUUUUUAAGAGUAUUUUUAAUAUAAAUUAAUAUGAAAUGGAUGGAACAUUGAUGAAACUCUUACUAAGGGAGGUUAAAUACAUCAAUUUAUAAUUUUUUAUUAUAUUUAUGUUAUUUUUAAUAGUAUUUUUAGUAUAAAUUAUAAGAAACUGACGGAACAGUAAGAGAUGCAUUACUUGAAAUUUUGAGAAGACAACGAAUAGAUUCUUGAAAAUUAGAAAAAAAAAAACAAAAAAGAGAUAGGUAUUUACUAGAGAUAUUUUGUAGGGAAAACUUCAAAAAAAUCCCAUGGUUUCACACUUUCUCACUUGAGUGCCCUGAGGUUUAAAAUCUAUCAAUUUGGUGUCCUGUGGUUUUAUUUUUAUCUUUUUUUAUCAAUUUCACUAUUUUUUCUCUUAAAUUGGUGACAAAGUUAAAAUUAAAAGGUACUAAAGUGAAUAUUCGAUAAAUCUAUGUGAGUAUUUGAAGUUUUUUGUAUAUAAUUUAACAAAACAUUAACGAAAAAGAUAUAGAAAAAAUAAUAAUAAAAUUACGUGGCACCAAAUUGAUACACUUAAAAUCACAUGGCACCGAAAUGAGAAAGUGCGAAACCACAGUUUCCCUAUUUUGUAUUUUAGUCAUAUUUGCUCCAAUUACCAAACAGAAAAAUCUUUGCGAGAUAACGUAACACCAAUGAGAAACUGCCACGUGCUUUGGUCGUACAAAAUUACUGCAUCCAAAGAUAAGAUUUAUCCUCGCGAGAUCUCACACACACACACCCCAUACCGCGUAAUGGCGCGAGUUCGUAGCCACACGUGGGUGGGCCCCCCACCCCCCCUUGUCCCCGUUUCCCGCGCUUUUCCCACCCUCUUUUCGCACAUGACACUAAUUUCGAAACCGAAACGGGCGCGUCCCUUCCGAAGAAAAAAAAAAAAAAAAAUCUAGAAUACAUCCAAUAUAUUGCUACAGCGGCGUUCCCAAUUAAUAAAAUUAUUUUUUUAAAAUUAAUAUAAUAAUAAAAAAUUAUUUUUUAAAAUAAAAAAUAUGAUUGACUUGUUACAAAUUAUAUGGUACAAGUGUGACACUAUAGGCUUUCGCCCCCACUCCCACACUUUCCAUCCUACUUUCGAUGCAUUCAUUUAUUCGCUACACUGGGUCCAUCCGAACAUCUAUAUGCGCUACGGAGAUUAGAUAAAUUAGAGUUAGCAAUCCAGCUCGUGUUGGGCUUGGAAUGAGUUUGAAAUCAAUCGCACGUUUAAUAAAAGAGCCGAAUAUAAAAAAAGCUAACACGAACUGACUCACCUUGCUCAUAUUCAGCUCGAUAUAACUUAAAUAUAUAUAGAGAGAGAGAGAGAGAGGGAGAGAGUGUGUGGCUAUAGUGCUUUUAAAAGUGUUAAGCAUUUCAUACUUGUAAAUUUUCUGUCGUUAGAUUUACUCUUUUGAUUUUUUUCACUCAUUAUAUCAUAUUAUUUAACCAAUCAUGUACUCAACUCUAAGUGACUAUUAUCAUCCUAACCACACUUUUCGUAAUCUAAGUGGGACCACUAUCAUUCUAAUCAUAUAUUCCUUAAUCUAAGGACUGAAACCUAUAAGCACCAAUGCCCCACUCUCUCUCUCUCUCUCUCUCUCUCUCUCUCUCUCUAUAUAUAUAUAUAUAUAAAACUAGGCUGGAAUACUAUUAAUAGCACCAAGCUAUUGGUUGCUAUUAAUUUUUUAACCCUUGGAUUGAGAAAUGGAUGGUUAGGAUGAUGUGAAUCUUCUAGGGUUGAGUGAGUGGUUGGUUGAAUAGUAUAAUCUAACGAGUAAAAAUAAUCAGAUGGUUAAAUUUAACGAUGAAAAACUCGAUAAUACCAAAUCUUUGGUAUUAUCAAUAGUAUCCUAGCGGGACUAUAUAUAUAUAUAUAUAUAUAUACAUUAAUUGGCUAACAAUAAUAACUUGUUGGAUCCAAACUAUCGACUGGAAGUACUUAAAUUUAAUUUUUAUUACUAGUAUGUCAGGCCUCAUAUUAGAGCAUUACACUUGCUUUUUGCAAAUAUACUUAUGUUUGGCUCGUUAAUUAACAAGCUGAGCACGUUCUGAAUGUUUUAGCUCGAUAGUUUAACAAACAAGCUGGCAUUCGUCUCAUUUAAUAAAUAAGCGAAUAUGAACCGCCUCCGUUUGCUGGUGUUUAGCCCAUAUUGUACGGAUGCACCCGGAUCACCCAAUAAUCUUCCCGCUCCGCAGUUUCCGCCCCUACCAAAGGGACAGAAAAGCGGAAGCCAAUCCCAACCGAGAGUCGGUGCUCUCGUGAAAACGACGUGCACCGAGUCCACAGUGAACCCCACGACUAUGCAACCCUCCCCAAAUAUAUAUAUAAAUAUAUAAAUAUAAAUAUAUAUAAAUAUAUAAAUAUCCCUUUCCCAUCGGCCACGUGUCGAUAAUCGACACGUGCCACGUUGCACUCUCGCCACGUGUGAGCCCCACGUUCCCGCUCCCCAACGGGUCCGCGUGUGGAAACCCAACAAAACCUGUCGAUUCAAUAGAUCGACACGUGGCGCGGCGCUACUGGACGCAGGAUUUCUAUUGGGGACUCUAUAUAUAUAUAUAUAUAUAUAGAAGAAGCUUAAGAUCUCAGCUUCAACUACAAGUCUCAGAUUUUGUGUGUGUCAUAAACAAACACAAGUAAGGAGAAGUGCUUGUAAGAGAAGUGCUUUUUUGGGGCUUAAUUUAGAAGCAAAAUUUUUAUUUUUUUUCCACACAGAGAGAGAGAGAGAGAGAGAGAGAGAGAGAGAUUAAAGAUGGGUAUUGUAGAUGUUGUCUCUGAGUUUUGCUACCUCCCAAGUACUCAACAUAGACACAUCAAGAAGCACAAGCAACUACAGGUACUUACUUUUUUUUUUUUAUGCAUCUUUUAUUAUUAUUAUUAUUAUUAUUAUUAUUAUUAUUAUUAUUGUUUUUUAAGUUCUUGAAUAUUAGUGACUUUUAUAUCAGUUACUCAUGAGUAGAACAGUACAAAAGUUUAUUUAAUUUAGGGAAAAAAUAAAUCUUUAUUUAUUUGUAACUAUAUGUAUUUUGUUAUAGAUAUAUAUUGAGCUCAAGUUUUCAGUUUAGUGUUCCAUCUCAUGGUAUUUUCUAAUAAUCUAACAAAUUUAUUUAAAGCUAUGCAAUGAAAAUUUAACUUUUGAAAGUUAUGGAUUUUACUUUGUUUCAAUAUAUAUUACACAAGGGUCAAACACUAAAUCCAUUUCAAAAUGCGUUGUACUCCAUGUAAGUAUCCUUAAGUAUGAAUUUUCUACUUCUUUUUUAUAUUCGUUGAACUUCUCAUUCAGUUUUUUAGUGUUUUUAUAAUUAACUCAGAUCUAUGUCUUGAGCUUUGAGCUUGGAACUCGAAGAUCGUACUGCUGAAUAUAAAUAUUAAAAAAAUUAUUUUUUAAAUAAUUUUAUACUUAUGAAGAAUAAUUACUACACACAUGUUUAUUUAUAUUAUGUGAAAUAAUUAUGUUUUUAACAAUUUAUUAGGUGACAUAAUUAUUUUUUUUGAAAAUUGAAGUCAAUUGAGAACGAUGUUCUCCAUAUUUAUAUUCACCACUCUUUUUCUCUUUCUCAUUUUUUGACUCGGAAAAUUAGGAACCUCUUAUUGUAAUAUCACAUUACAUUAAAUUAUGUGAACUGAUUAAUUUUUUUAAUAAAAAUAUGUAUAUAUCGUAGGGCUAUUAUACUAUCGAAAAUAUAGAGGAUCUGAUUAUAGAAGAUUUGGUAUUUUCGAUUUUUUGGUUCUUAAAUUAAGAUUUAUACGGUUGGUUGGAAUGAUUGUGGUCUUUCUAAAAUUGAGUAAUUUGUAUAGGGUAAUGGGAUAAUAAUAUUAAUUCAAAUUUUAGAAAUUAUCAAAAAAAAUUUAUUUUAUGACUAAAAGGUCGGAAGUAUUAGAUUUUUAUAUCGAAAAUUUUUAUAUCGAAAAUUUAUGCUUUCGAUAGUAUAAUAGCUUUAUAUAUAUAUAUAUUGUCCAUAAUGAAUAAUAAUUUAAUAAUAAUGGACGAUGCGAAUGGAAUGUGCAGACGGUGGAGAUGAGGGUGCGGAUGGACUGCGAGGGGUGCGUGCGGAAGGUGAAGAAGGCGUUGGAGGGGAUGAAGGGGGUGAGCUCGGUGUCGGUGGAGCCGAAGCAGUUCAAGGUGACGGUGAUCGGGUACGUCGACCCGGCGAAGGUGAUGCGUCGGGUGGCGUACAAGACCGGCAAGAAGGUGGAGCCGUGGCCGUACGUGCCGUACGACCUGGUGGCCCACCCCUACGCCCCGGGCGCCUACGACAAGAAGGCGCCCGCGGGCCACGUCCGCAACGUUGUCGCCGACCCCGCCGCCGCCCCCCUCGCCCGCGCCUCCUCCCUCGAGGAGAAGUAUUCGUCGGCAUUCAGCGACGAAAACCCCAACGCAUGCUCCGUCAUGUAAAACAACUUUCGGGCAUCCGAAACCAGCCAGAACAGAUAAAAAAAGAGAGAGGGGUUCAGUAAAGGACAUAAAUUUUGGUUUUUUUUUUUUUUUUUUUCAACUUUUUUGGUCUUUGUGGUGUGGGUGUGAGUGUUGAUGUGAAAUAUGAAUGAUUAGGAGGAUUGAUAAUGGGUGGUGGGAAUUUUUUGUGUUUGUGUAUAUGUUCUGUUUAUUAAGGUUUUUUUUUUUUUUUUUUUUUUGAGUGUGUGUUUUUUGGUGUUGUUAGGGCUGUUGUUGUGUGAAAAGUUUGUGUAAAAAAGCUUUUGAUGAUAUUUCAAAAUUUUAUUCAAAUGAAUUUUGGUGGCAGAGCAUGGACUAGUAGGGAGUGAAGUGCAAAAGAGAGUUUACAUUCAUUUGUUUAAUAAUAAUGAUAAUAAUAGUCCAUCUGAGUGUCUGAUACUAUCAAUUUAAAAUUAUAUCAUUUGUUAGUCGUGUUUAAAAAUUAUUAUAAAAUUUAAAAUCUAGUGAAAAAAUUGAUAAAAAAGAAAGUAAUCAUGAAUGGGACAAACAAGGGGGCCUACUUAGCUUGACCUUGCAUGUUCUCUUUAUUUUCGCUUUUACUUUCUUUAAAAUAUAUAUAUAUAUAUAUAUAUAUAUAUAUAUAUAUAUAUAUAUAUAUAUAUAUAUAUAUAUAUAUAUAUAUAUAUGUAUCAGGCCACAUAGGAGAUACGAGAUAAGCUUUUUUGGCUCCACCUUGGAUACGAUCGAUUUGCGUCACGCCUACUCUCUGUGAGAGAGAGUUGUGCUAGAAUACUAUAAGUAGUAAACGAAUUAUUUUACUAUCAAUUUAUUUUCGAUGAUAGAACUUUCAAAUUGACGAUCGGCUCCGUUGAACAUGAUUUAUACCACUUGAAGUGUUUAGAAAUCAAAUUUCAAAUCUUUUCGACAUCAUUUGCCUAAUGAUCAAAGGGUUUCAAAAUUUAUAAUUUUAAUGGUCGAUGAUUAAAGGGUUUCAAAAUUUGUAAUUUUAAUGGUCGAUAAGAGGCGUUUUCUCGUUUAAUAGCGUAAAUAUAUCCAAAUCAAUUGAAUUUUUGUUAGAAAAAUCUUUAAACUAUUUAAAACAAGAUCUAUACUCUUGAUCUUGAUUACAAGACUCCUAUCAUUAUUUUUUAAAGAGUAUUUAUUUUCAGCCAUUCAUUUUUCUGUUCACUUGAUGGAUAAAAGAACAAUAUCGAAAAUGCGUGAAAUUUGAUUUCUAGAUAGUUUAAAUGGUUUAGAUCAUAUUUAACGGAGCCGAUCGUCAAUUUGGAAGCUCUAUCAUCGAAAACAAAUCGGUAGUAAAACGGCUCGUUUACUACUGAUAGUAAGUAUUCUAGCUCAACUAUAUAUAUAUAUAUAUAUGGCCAUGUAAUUAUCGUAAAUUAUGCAUAAAUAGUAUAUAUUUUUUUAAGUAAUUGUCAGAUCGUUGGCACUAACCAUUAAUCCUAAAAACUUGAGCUGUUAGAAAUACGCAACUAAUUCACUUAAAGCGUAUAGAUACAGCGCCUACGGAUUUCGAUUGUGACUCGGCCCAUCCAGCCUCACACCACUUCGAACAUGACUCGAUCCAAUCCAGCCUCACGCCAUUUCGAACUUGACUCGGCCCACAUGGCCUUCCGUCACAUGUCGGAAUGCUGGUCCAUUUAAGCCAACAGUAAUUACUGUUGCAUGUGUGUGCAUCUUGUGUAAGAUAAAUCCAGUGCUGUAGCGCAGCGUAUUAUUUAGCAGCAGAGGAGGGGUAGAUUUCAAUGAAAUGCACAUAUUAUUAUUAUUAUUAUUAUUAUAUAUAUAUAUAUAUAUAUAUAUAUAUAUAUAUAUAUGAUAUUUGGUGAUAGCAUUAAAAAAUAAAAAAGCGUAUCUAAAGCAUGCUUCAGUUCCAACUUUUUAUUGGUCCAAACGAGCGCAAGAGAACUCGCACAAAAAAUUGCUUUUGGACGUGUGCGUAUAAGUUCUUCUAAGCUCUUCUCGUUCUUAAACAAUAACAAUAAAACUAAAAAAAGGGGAAAAAAAAAAGCAACUAGAUCUUGCUUUCAUGUAAAGAUAUAUCUAUGGUUUUAAGUUACAGAUUAAAAGUAGAUUUGUUAAAAGUUUUAUUCUGAUCAUUAGAACAUGAGUUUACUUUAUUUAAAUCUUUUGCGUGUUUUUUAAGGGUAUUAAGGAAAUCGUGGUAGAAAAAUUCACUUUUCAAAAUGUUCAUCCAGAAACUAUACGGUCACAAGAAAUUAAAAAAAAGGUAAAAAAGCCCUCAGAUUCAGAUUCUAUCUGGUAUGGUUCCAGGAAAAACCCUAGUAGCUGAAGUGCACCAAUAUAAUAAUUACAAAUAAAUAUACCCAUGUGGUAUGCGACAGCACAUUAAACAGCAACUACAAAAUUUAUUUUUUGACCUAUUUUUCCUGAUCUGCUUGAAGCUGGAGAUCAGAUGAAAACAGCUUAUUUUAAUGCAAACAAAAAAGGUGUUCAUUGAAUCAGGAAUGAAUCAUAUGCAAUUUAAUGAUACCAUGGGUGGUUUAAGUCAACUUGGGUGAGGUACACAUCAGGUUAAGUCACAUGAAAAUAAUCUGAUUCUAGUGAAGAGAACCUCAAAACUAGGUUUCUGUGAUCUUGUCACAGACCUGUAGUAUAAAUUAACAUUUAAAAAAAAAUCAUCAUCAAAUCCAAACCAUGUCAGUAACUACCCCAAACAGUUUUAAAAUCAUGCAGUUGUGACUUCUAAAUUCAACUUUAAAAUCCUUUUCAAUCAAACACCCUUUCUUAGCUCUCGCAUAAUUUUUAAUGCGAUUCGUUAUACUUUGAGAAGUUAUUUAACACUACAUGAUAAUAGCUCUAUGUUCUAUCAAUAGGAAAGCAAUAGAAAAUUUCAAGUGUCAAGAGUACCAAAAUAAUGUCACCACAUCAUCAAUUUGUUGAACAUUCUUAAAUUAAUGGUUGAGAUUAAAUAAACCUCGGCAACUUAAGAAAUUAUCGACGUAAGCACAUUAAGUAGGCAAGUGUGAAAUGAUUUAAGUAAAGCUGUAAUAAAUAAUAGCUACUUCAGGAACACAAAACAAACUACAAAUGCCACAAACUUUCUCAUUUAUGCAAAGACGACUUCAAAUAACCAUGAGUGUAUAAAACAAUCCACGGAUAAACAACAGAUGCAAAGAACGCAAAGCAAAAGAUCACUAACAAGGCCCAAGUUAUUGCCUCCAACUGCCCUUAAUGAAUCAACUGUUUAUUAUUCCAUCUUAAUAAUCUAUUUUAAUCGUAAACGAACAAACAAAAUCGAAGUUUCAACACAAGCUCAGGUUUCUAAAUACUGUAGUGGUGAUGAUAAAUUAUUCCACACUCUUCUAUGUCAUAAUCAGCAAUCAAAAUUUGAGCAGAUUACAACAGCCUAAACACAUUAAAUGCGUGACGAGGUUCCUCCAAAACUCUCAUUAAUUGGUGGUAAAGCAAAGCAAAGAGAGAUACAAAUACCAACGAUUUGCAUGCUAUGCCAUGAUCCUCGAAGGCUCUCCAACAGCAUUUUCCAUCCUCUGAUACCAUUCACCAAUGUGAGUAUUGUCCACCAUAUCUCUACCAGCCUGUAGGUAUCGGAUGGGUCUUAGAACACCAAAGACCGCAAGAUCAGCUAGAUUAGGCUUGGAACCACCUGCAGCAGAGGAGACGAGAAAUAGAUUGAAAAAAAAUAUAGUAUCACCAACAGGAGAAAUCAUAACUAUUAAGUAAAUAUCAAAAGCUCAAGAAUAUGACUAGAAUACCAAGAAAGUCUUUUCCGUCAAGAGCUUUCGUCCAGGUCUCUGCAGCUUCAUACAACGCAGCACGUUCAUCAGUGAUGUUAUAUUUCUUCUUCAACUUCUUAGAUACCAUAUACAUUGCAGCAGCCCCAGCAUAUUUUACAGUAAACCUCUCGGUAGCACUAAAGUUACCUGCAACCGGAAGAGAAGCCUAUGAGAGCAAACUUAUUGUUUCUAGACUAAUAUUCAAUAUAUAAAUGGCUAGAAAUGCUAUCAUUUCAACAUGAUUUGGGCACUCAAAUCGACAAUCAACACCACUAACCAUGAUCUAGGAUGUCUGAACUUCCUACAAACCAAAUAUUAUGAUUUUUUGAAAAUUGUUUUAAAAAAUAAAGGAUAUGACAUAUAAAAUAGAGAUCAGAGUUAUAGAUCUUCGCGGCUUAAAUGGAUCAUAUUCCGCCCAGAGUUGUAGAUCUCGAAGCCAUAAUUCUAAUUCCCAUUCCAAACCCAAAGUUCUCACAUGCAUAUCUUCUAUAAAAUCUGGUUAGUAUACAAUAUAACAAACAAAGCAAAAGGCUGGGAUAAUGAGGGGAAAGGAAAUCCUACGUAAAAAUAGACAUAUAAAAAUAACCAUCUUACCAUGUUUAGCAAUAUAAUCAAAUGACUCAAGGGCCUCCGAAGUAGUCCUGUAUAUAUUUGGUGAUAAAAGGUGCACCAGAUGUUCAUCAACCCACCUAAAUUAAGGAAAAGUAAUUAGCAUUUUAUUCAGUUGAUAAACAUCCACGUGCCUUAGUUAGGCUUAUGCAGCUUUCCCAAGGAAAAAGCAUGAUAAAAGAAUAACUAAGAAUAUCAAAUAUUGAAGCAAAGGCAACUAUUAUUAUUUUGAUGUUGAAACUUCAACCAUAUGUUAUUUCAAUCUAGAGUAAUAUGGCUAGAGACGACCAGGAGUUCAUCCAAAUCAAGGAUUUACUUAUCAAGGUACCACGUAGCGCCACUCAACCAGUGGAUAAUACAUUCCAUGCUGCCUCGAGCAGCAUGUACCAAUGUUGUGCAUUUACUUUCUUUUAUAUAUUUGAACUAUUUUUCGUCCAAGUUUACUCGUAGGAGAAAAGAUUUUAUGGUUUGAAUGUAUCCCUAUCUCUACUAAAUAUAAAAUAUUUUGAUAAUAGGAGAAUUUGCGCACGUAAUAGACGAGUCUCAAAAUAACCCGUAUGACAGUGCCGGUUUCUACCAUCAUGAUCUGUGCCGCUCCAUGUAAAGCGGCAUAGUACAUACUUGGCCCAAAUAUUGCACAUAAUCAAUAGCUAUUUUUCCUCUGAGAAGCACGAUGGGCAAGAAGUUUGUUUAAAAUGAAAAGUAUACCUGCGCCACUUGGCUUCCUCCUCGCCAAUUACAAAGUCAUCUGUACUAAUCCUCUUACUUAGCUUAUUAAUUAUAUCUGUUAAGACAAACCAAGUGCAAGACGGUAAAGGAAAAGAACAAGAAAAGAACAAAGAUAAAAUAAUUUUGCUACUUUGGAACGAUUUAUAAGAACCUGAGGAGUCAAUCAGCUGUUCACCAUCUACAACCAAGAUUGGGACCUUCUUAUAGUCGGACCACUUAAUCUCCUUCUUACUUAAAGGGUUUACCUCCACAACUCUAUACGGUAUGUCAUGGUAAUCCAAAAACGCUGAAAAAUAGCCAAUGUGAAAUGUCAGUCCAGAGUAUAUACUAAAACGGAAGGAAAACACUAUGUUCAUUCCCACUAUGUAUUCCCUGAAUUUAACAGCACUUGUACAAUUAACUCAAACUUUAACAACAAUUAAAACAAGUUGAGCGAGUAACUAACAUGACUAACUGAAAAAAUUGCAGAACAUACACUUCAUAGAUCAUCAUAAAGCAGCUGUCGGUUGCUAAGGAAAGCUUUUGGUUACAUUCCCAAGCAGCAAAAGAAGGUCCUGUAUUUCACACAUGAAGGUUUUCUCUUGCACUAAGGGCUACAAAUGCUCUCUCUAAAAACAUGUUAAUAUUAUGAUGAGAAAUAACACGACUGUGAUGCUCUUCGCAUAGAUUAUUAUACACAAGCAAUUACUCUUUCAACCACGUAUAACCAAAACCCCUUCUCUUGUCAACUUAUAUCUGAAAGCAAACAGAAAAGAAGAACGGAAUGGAAUUGUCAUCAAAGAUAGCAUUCUUUUCACAAUUUCUAUCCUUUCUUAAAUUGAUAAUACCUAUUAAGUUUAGCAUCAAAAGCUCUAGCCAAAACUGCCGAAUCCAACCAAAUGAAACUCAUGUUGCACAAGGACAUAGUGAAUUGUAAAUUAAGCAAUUAAAUACCACCAUAAAGUGCACUAGUGAAUCAAGAAAACACAACAGGAGAACAAUCUUUAUUCAAAAUCCAACCAUCCACGUAAGAUACACCAUCUAUUAUCUUAUAACAACUAUUAAAAAUUUAUUUUAUAACACUUUAGCUUGAAACUGUGGAAUCUAAACAAACAAAUCAUCAGAAAUAGAAACAGAUUUCGCAUAAGAAAUUAGUAAAUCGCACACUAACCAAUUAGAUAACACUAGAUAGAAAUUGCACUAGAGAAUGAACAAUACACUUUAGGAGGACGAAUUGUACUCAAAUUCAAACCAACCUCCUAGGUUUCAACAUCAAUCAAAGGAUUUACUCUUCGGAGACACAAUGAAGCGGCUCGAGCAUCCAAACGGAGAGAGAGAGAGAGAGAUUACCUCUAACCUUGUUGCAGAAGGGGCACGCCUCGUACUGGUAGAGCACGACGUCCUUGGGGACGAGCUCCGGCGGGGGCGGCUCCUUCGCCUCCGCCGCGGUCACCAGCGUCAGCGACAACGAGAGCGCUCCGGCGAGCCCCACGGGGACCGUUCUCGACCCCAGCGGCGCCACGGCGGGGGCUCCGGGGAUCCACCGCCGCGUCCGCGGUGGCGACGACGAGGCGGGGCCUCCGCCGAUCCUCCGAUCCGCCGCCGCCGCCGCCGCCGCCGGAGAAGGAGGGGGAGGGGGGAGGAGAGGUCGGGGGAGGAGGAGGGCGCGGGAGAUCAAGCUCCGAGGGUUUCGCAUCCUCGAUCGCGCUCAGAGGAGGGUUUUGGGUUUCUUCUCUUACAAGUCUAAGCGGCUAAAACCCCAGAAGGAGGAAGAAGAUGAGUUGUGGUGUACCGCGGAGCACGAUGGGGCGCGAAUCUCAAAGUUGUAUGAUUUGGGGAACGAGAGAUCCAACGGUGGAUAGAGACGUAUUACAGUUCGGGAAAGAGCGACAGUGUAACGCGGAGUAGAAGAGAAUGAGUGGCUUGUUUUCUAUACACUUCGUUCCCAAUGAGACCACAUCUUGCAUACAUAUGUACACAUAUAUUAUUAUUAUUAUUAUUAUUAUUACUAUUAAACAAUUUUAAAGGAAAAAUUCAAAAUUUGUGUUGGAUUGUAGUUCCAAAGUUUUGGGAAAGGAACAUUUUUUAUAUCCUUAACUUUGUUUUAUUUUAUUCUAAAAAAAACUUAUAUGUUUUGUCAUCACAUUCUUUCAUCAAACUACAUCUGAAUUAUAAUAUCAGCAUUAUCUAGGACAGUUGAUAGGUACUCUCAUUCAAACUCGAAAUCAUAUAUUUAUCUCGUAAAAAAAUUUCAAAAAAAAAAUCCAAUUUAUUUACGCAUGUCGGCCCAAUAGGCUGUGCCGAUCCACUAGGCAUCCACAGGCCGGCCUGGUGUGCGGCCCAAGUUAGCCCACAUUGCUCACUGAUGAGAAAUUAUUGACUACACCUACUAUUGUACAAGUUCGAUCCAUGUUGAUGGUUGGUAGCUGAGACCCAAGUUCGAAUCCUAAUUUAUUCACAUUUCUAGUUAAGUUUAUUUCUAAAUGAAAUGAAUGAAGCGGGUAGCGUGCUACCUAUCUCUAAAAAAAAAAACAAUUUUUUUUUUAAUUAACACUGUAAAUUUUUUUACUUUGUCAUACUAAAUUACACCACAAGAAAUGAAAUAAAAAAUUUUAAAUUAUAAGAUGACAAGCUAAAUCACAUGGGAGCAAUUCAACGCUUACCCAUUAAUAUUUUGGGAUAAUUGCCUAUGUACCCCUCAUAAGUUUGAAAAUAUCCGAUUUACUCAUACUUUUUUUUUCUUUGUAAAAUACCUCUCGUAUAUUCCCGUUAUUGCAAAAUACCCCUACAGUUAUCUCCUAUUAAGUUAACUUCAGUUAAAUGUGAGUUAAAUAUCUACCACAGUUAAAAAAAAUUAAAAUGCCAAUUUUGCCUUUAAUUUAAGGGCAAAUAAGAAAUGUUAGUGACGGUAGAGGGGUAUAUUUGAAAAGAUCAAAAGUCAGAAUAUUUUUUGUGCCCCUGACUUUAAGGGCAAAUAAGAAAGACAGUGAUGGCGGAAGGAUAUAUUUGAAAGGGCAAAAUAGUAAUUUUACAGAGAUAAUAGAGUUCAUUAACAAAUUUUAACUUUAGGGAUAUAUUAGAAAUAAGUUAAAACUUAGAACAAGUAUUUUCAAUAUUAACCUUCUAAGAGAGAUAAAUCGAAAAGUCGAAAACUUUUCAGGGAUAUAUAAGUAAUUGCCCCUAAUAUUUUACACCCAUGAGGUAAAGCAUAUAUUUGGAACAAAAGAACCUGGGUUUAGGUGCACCUUCCAAUAAGGAUCUCUCAACUCUAGUUUUCCAACCACCCUUGUAAAAUAAGCAAAUUAACCACCUGAUAAAAGAGGCCAUUCAUCCAACACACUUAAAAAAAAAACACUCCUUAAAAUCCCUUCUCAAUAUCACUAGUUCGCAAUUCUCAUAAUCCACAGCCCAAAAUGAGCCACAUCAUUGCACUUGUCUCCCAAAUUUUAGGGAUUAAGCUUAGCAGAAUUGGCGCGCAAGUUAAGGCGGCGGGGACGGCGGACGAAGAUGCAAAAUGCUGCGUGUGCCCGUCAAGGCUGAAGGACGGAGAGAUCACCCGGAGACUGUCAUGCAGCCAUUUGUUCCACGGCGAAUGCGUCGACCGGUGGCUCGCGGUGAGGGGGCGGACAUGCCCUCUCUGUCGCAUGUCGAUCGAGGGGGGGGCGACUGCGCGGCGGACCGACGAACAGGCCGCCGAAGAUCUGGAAAUUUGGUUCUCUUCUUUUCUUGCACCGGGUUUUUGAUAAUUGCACUUGCAUUGUGUGUAUAGAGUUUGAUGUGGGUCUAGUUGUGUCUGUGUGUACUAGUGCAAUUGUUCUCUUUAUUGGACUUGUGUGGAGAAUGGUCCAUUGAUAUAGCAUGAGUAAUUUUGUUUCCAAUUUUUUGUAUGAAAGAAAAUAAUACUUGGUUCUGGAUAGAGUUUAAUUGUUAUAGGUAGAAUUUUAUGAGCAUUUUAGGCUCAAAAUGCUUUAAUCUGCAAUCGUAAUUCUUUUAUUAUCCGAUGUAAAAUUAUUGAAACUAUUAGGGCAUUACAGAUUUCCCUCGUUUAGACUUUAAUGUUCUCGUCAAGACCAAAUCCCCUGACUAUUGGGGCGUUACAGACUCACCAAACCCACUCUUGACAUCCUCGUUAUGUCCAAACAUGCACCCAACCCUGACAUCCUCGUCAGGUCCAGGCCCUCCAGACUCUUGGGGCAACUACAGACUCGCCAAACCCGCCCCUGACAUCCUCGUCAGGUUUUAUCAGACGAUGUGAUAUUUUAGAGGGUGUUAUAAACUCACCUCGUCUAUUGGGGUUUUAUAGACACACCAAAACCACCCCAUUUUAGAUAGCUUUAUAGACUCAUCUCGUCUAUAGGCGCGUUACAAACGGUGCGUUACAAACUCACUAAACCCACCCAUGACAUCCUCAUUAGAUCUUAUCAAACGUUGUGAGAUUUUAUAGCAGGGAUCUACUGGGGUGUUACAGAUUCAUCAAACCCACUCUAUGUGAGAUUUUUUAGAGGUGACUCUUGCAUGUAUGCAGCUCUCAUACUUUCAACUGCCGCGAUGUGAGAUUUGACUCCUGCAAGUAGCUCUCAAACUUCCGACUACGGGUUCAACAGGUUGGCUUACACUAUACUUAACUUUCAUUUCAGCUGGUAUUCAGUUUUGAUACCUAAUAUAACGAUCUGACCCACCAGCACUAACUCUUUAAGUUCAAAUCACCUACUCAAAAUGAUUAAGUUUAAUUAUUAUUAAAAUCUUUAAUCGGUAUAUAUUCAAUCGUAAUUUUUUUUAUCCGGUAUGGGACUAUUACACUAGUCUUAGAAUACAAUCAGUGAAUUGUAAAGGAAAAUACCAUUAAAAAUAAAGAGAAAAAAAAUGAAAAAAGUAUCUGGUAGAAUAUCUAUUGAAAAUUUUCGACUUAGCUAAAUAGGAAAAAAAAAAAAUUAUACCUAUUCUGCUAUUAAUUUGUUUGUUGAUUCAAUUUGGAUUGAACCUUUGAUCUCUGAAUGGAAGCUUCAAACUAGAAUUACUAUUGUUGGGCUUUAAAAUUUUACUUAUAAAUUUUUUAAUUUUUUUUAAAAUUUACCAAAUGCUAUAUACAGGUCCCUGCUCUAUAUAUAGGUCUCCCACACUAGUCCCUCUCUAAUUGUAUUUACUUUGGCUUUGAAAUCACAAAAAAAUCAUGCAAUCUAAAGUGAUAAAGUAAGAUAUAUUACAAAUAUAGUAGUAUGUUCGGAACAUUGCAAUAACUUAAUUAAGAUAUAUUUUCUACGAUCCUACUAAAAAAAUUAGAAACUAUUUCACUAUACACACUUACAUCAAGGCGAAUGGCCAUCAACAUAUAACGGAUCCUUAAUAUUAGGUGUUAGAUGUGCCUCGAACUUUGACAAGUUCAAUUUUGUGCCGCUAAUUCGUCGACAGUUUCGCGGUGCAAUAAAUUUGAGAAAAAGAUUUGUGAAGGAAACAUGAAUCUCUGUGGUGAAUAUCAGAGAGCUUGGGCCGAUAAUGAAGAAACUCGUUUAGAAAUUUUUUUCUUCUUUUGCCCUAAACACGAUACGGCAUAUUGUAAUAAAAAAAAAAUUGGACUUCUUUUUUCAUAGUGAAGUUUCUCCUCUUUCACCCAUGAUUUUUUUUUUUUUACAAAAUUUUUUUUACGUAAAUUCUUAUAUUCUCUUUUAGUGAUUUAUAAUUCGUCUAUUUCACGUUCGUUAUUUUUCGUUUAUAUUUGUGCGCUCGUCGUAACAUUAGGCCACAGCUAUCCAAUUAGGUCCGACUCUCGCCCCGACCACACCAACCAACACUAGCUCCCAAUAUAUAUUUUUGUUGGGUACUUGAUUUUUUUUUUUUUUACUUUAAUAUAAUGAUUCGAGAUAAAUCUGAUUUAUUAAACUUGAUCAAAUAUUAUGUAAAAUCAUGAUCCAAUACGAAAAGCUAAUAAUUAAAUGGAUGGUUGUUAAAAAAAAAAAAAAAAUCUAAACAAUGCCUAUUUUGAAAUGGCCUAUGUAAGCUAAGGAGCUAUAUACACUAAUACACCUAUUACAUUUUCUUUUUUCCUUUUCUAAUUAAUACUCUAUUAAAAAAUCAUUGUUAUCAAAAGUAGAAACAUAAUCCUUAACAAUCAUUUCAUAAAAUUGUUGGUUUGCAUAUAAACCUUAACAAUAAUUUCUUAGAAUUGUUGGUUUACACUUAUUUUCCCUAGGGCAGGUGGUAAAGUUUUUAAUAAUUAGUAUUCGAGAUUCUAAAUUUAAAUUUAAAUUAUUUUAGAUUUCAGCAAAAUUUAUUUUUUUAAAAAAAAAUUGAAAAAAAAAAUAUUGGUUUGCUACCCAAGAUGCUAUGGUUUAAAAAUUUAUGUCAAAGAGAAAGGCAAAAUAAAAUUUUUCGAAAGCCACACAGGUUGGCUAUGUUAAAAAUGCGCUAAAUUAUAAGAUAUUUAAAGUAACUUUUUGGAUCACGACGGGGUAAAGUAAAAAUGAGCUAAAUCAUACCGUUCAAAUAAAAAUUACAUUUUUUCUGCUAUUUGUUUCUACUGCUGUGGAACUGAAAUUUUUUCAAUUCUACUAUUUAAUUAGCAAGAAGUGAAUAAGGUAAAAUUGAAGUUCCUCAUCAUUAAUAUUUUAUUAAUUUUUCUUUCUUAAUUUUUUUGUAAUUGACUUUGGUUUGGUAUGAGUCAAAGUCAAUUACAGUAUUUUUAAAUUUUAAAUUUGAGUUUCGAUCGAAGGUAAAAUAAUGAUAAAGCAAACAACGAAAUCGAAUAUUUACGAUCAAAAAACACUUCAUUCCUUUCAACUUUCAGAAAAACACUUCAUUCCUUAAUUACGGUAUUUUCAAAAGUUUAAAUUUCGAUUGAAGAUAAGAUUACGAUAAACUAAACAAUGAAACUAAAUGUUUACGACCAAAAAUUACAUCACACCUUUCCAUUUUCGGUGAAACAAACAAACACUAAAUUACACCCAAGGCUUACAAAAUAAGAAAACGAGGUGGUAAUAGAAUUCGUAUCCAAUUUAGGGAAGUCAGGAUGCGGAUAUCUAAAUUUUUAUCCGAAUCCGAAUCCGAAUCCGAAAGAAGUGUAUUUAUCUGAUCCUAAACGGAUAUGAUUUCGGAUAUGGAUAUCAAAAAUAAAAAUUCGACAGAUAUGAAGUCGGAUAUAGAUUUUGACUUUACCUGACCUGAAUCCAAACCCGAAUAUAUAUAAAUAUUUGAUGUUAUAUCUAAAUUUAUAUUUUAAAAUUUAAAUUUAAUAUAAUAUAUUGUGAAAGAGAAAUAAUAAUUUCAAAUUCGGAUUUUCGAGUUCAGGUUCAUAUUUGAAUUUUCGGUCAAAUUCGCGCUUGGAUAUGAAUUUUUAAAAUUCAAAAAAUUUUAAAUUCAAAUUCAGAUUUCGAAUUUAGAGUCGGAUUCGGAUUCAAACUUUUAAAAGAUCCGCUCCGAAUCUCAUCAAUUGACCAGUUGACAUCCCUACUCCCAUAGGACACAAACCCACUGUUUGCAGCGGCAGCAGCAGCAGCAGCAGCGGAUCAGCUUUGCAGGCAUAUUUGAUAGAGAGGUGGGAGACGUGCCGGUGCUGCCAAAAGCAGUCGGACCUGGCAGAGUGCAGACUGUAUAGAUUUGUGCGCAAGAUGUCUACAGAUUUCCAUCACAUCAACAACGAAACCAAAUGCAGAAAUCGCACAGCCGGCCCUCCCGCCCCCCCACAGUCCGACUGAUGAUGAUGUGAUGGCUGAGCCUGCCUUCUCGCUGCUCUGCCCCUACCUCUGACAAAAGAAAAAAAAAUUAGUGUAAAAUACAAAAAUCAUUUUUACCUAUGGCUGAUUCAAAGUGUAUCAAAUUAAUAUUUUAUAUAUAUUUUUUUAUCUUUUCGAUAAUUUUUUAUUAAUAUUUUAUUAAAUUAUAUAAAAAAAAUUUUAGAUACUUCAUCUAGAUUUAUCGAAUAUUCGCUUUAGUACUUUUUAGUUUUAUAACGAUCCAGCCCACUAACAACAAUAACUCGUUGGGCUCAAAUACCGGCCCAAAAUACUUAAGUCUAGUCAUUAUUACUACUUACUAAAUCUCUUAUAUAUCUAAUCACAUCUCCAUUCAUAUUCGAUGUGAAAUUAUUGGGGUGUGACAAGUUUUAACUUUUAACGAAAAAAAUUAGUGGAAUCGAUAAUAAAAAGAUAAAAAUGAAAUCGCAUGAUACUGAUACUAAACUGAUACACUUUAAACCACAGAAUACUAAAGUGAAAAAGUGUGAAACUACCGAUGCGGUAUUUAAAGUUUUCCUAAAAAUUUAAAAUAUAUCAGUUAUAUACUAAUAUGUUAUUUUCAAUAAAUAAGGAUUUAUUUGAUUCGGAUAUAAGUAAAAGAGUUAAUUUCAUAUAAACUCCUGCAACCAUAGUGAAUUAUAAAUAUAUUCCUACAAAGUUCAAUUUUCAUAUAUUGUUUCUAUAAAAGUCCUGAUGUUUUCAAAUAUGUUCCUGUCGUUAAACUACGUUAAAAAAAUUUAGCUAACCAUGGGUUAAAUACUUAACUCUGAUUAAUCUUUGACAUCUUUAUCUGUCUUAUAUUAUACCGUUUUCGCUUUUAGAGGAACAUAUUUAUGAUGGCAAAAUUGAAAAUAUUAACGAUUUUUUGACGAUAAAAAAGUAGAUGGACAUAUUUGAAAACAUUAAAAUUUUUGCAGAAAUAAUAUAUAAAAGUUGAACUUUGUAGGGAUGUAUUUGUCAUUAGCUAUGUCUGCAGGAACGGUAUAGAAUUAACCCAAAAAAAAAUAAAUGCACCAGUUAUAUACUAAUAUGUUAUUUUCAAUCAAUAAGAUUUUGUUUGAUUAGGAUAUAAGUAAAAAUUAUAUAUUUUAGAGAUAUGUACAAAUUCAGAUAUAAAUAGAAAUUAUAGUAAGUUUUUAUUUUGAUGAAAUUUGAGUUAUUUAUAAGAAUAAGAUAAGUAGUGUUUGGAUGGUUAAAUUAGAGUAGCGAAAAUAAAAUAAUUAUAAAUUUAAAUUAAUAAUAUUUUUAUCUAAUUAAUUAAUAUCAAAAUAUUAAUUAAAGAUAAUAUAAUAAAUUAAAAAUUAUUAGCUAUGAAUACUGUAUGAGAUAAAAAAAAAAUAUUAAUUAAUUAUUUAAUUAAUUAUAAAAUAUAAGUUAAUUUUUUAAUUAACUAGUUAGAUGAUUUGUUAAGAAAUUAAUUUAACUAGUUGGCCAAUAUAAAUAUUAAUAAUUAAAUAAACACGUUGAAUAAUUAAUUCUCAAUGAGCUAAUCUACCAUAAAUAAUAAAUUAAUUAAUGACUUAACUAAACAAUUAUCUUAAUUCGAUUAAUUAAUAAAUUAGUAUAAUAAUCAAAAUUAUAUUUAAAUUUUAAUUAAAUUUGUUUCCAUAUGGAAACAAACUUAUUCCAGGAGGAGGGUGGAACAGCUGUUCCAUCUGUAUUCCUCCUAGUUCUUAAUAAGAGAGAGCCACAAUUCCCAUAAUUCAAAAUUUUCGUUUGUAUAUACGAAGGGAAAUAAGGGUUUAGUUUUCUCUUUAUAUCCCAACCAAACACAAUAUAAGAUUAUUUUUUUAGAUUCACUUAUCUCAUCAUAAUUAUUAGAAAAAUAAUUUUAUUAUACUUUUCUAUCAAAAGAACAGAUAUAAUUGAUUAAUUAUUGAUAAUUUGAUAUAAGUGUGUUACAGUAGACCUACUCCUACUCAUCAGCCACCUCCUUUUCCUUACACCAUCCUUACUUUAUUUUGAAUAUUUUAAAAAUUAGAUUAAAUAGAGAUUUAAAAAUAUUAUUGAGUUAAAGGUCAUUGGUUCAACCCAUAGUUGAAGUGGGUCAGGCAAUGAUUUAACUAGCGAAAUUAGUAUGACUUUAGAAAUAUUUAUUUUAUUAUAUAAAAAUAUUUAUUAUUAUUCUAGUGUUAUGUUAUUAUGAAAUACUAAUUUUUACACCAAAUUAAGCAGAGAUAAGUUUGCAAGUUUAACUUUUUAUAAAACUAACCUGUAGUAAUAGAAAAUAAAAUCAGGCAUGUUGAUUUUAAGGUGUUGAAUUUUAAUAUGACUUACUCAACAAAAUUUGACCUGAUUAAAAUUAGACCUGUUCACCACUUCGAUGGUUCAACUGCUGACUUAAACAGUUUAAAAUAAUUUGGCUAAAUUACAAAAAAUAUUUCUGUCAAAAUCUGAUUUUUCACUUGUCACGCCCUUCCCCGAAACCACUAUCCAUUUGGCACGGUUCGGCCGCGGCGGCGGGUUGUCGAAUGGACAGUACCUCUCCUGUCCGCCCAAGGCUCAACAACAAGAAUGUGUACAAGAAUUUACCCAAAAAAUUAAAUUUUAACAUACACAUUCACAAAGGCACAAACAGUGCCAACACAAUAAAGAGCAAGUAAUCCACAAGAUAAAGCAUGGAAAUAAAGAGAGUACUUUACUAACUAUUACAAUAGUUUCAUCAUUUUCAAUUACAUCAUCUUCUUUAAAUGAAUACACUGUUCAUCUCAAAAUGCAUCUCUCUCCAAGUCCUCACCUACAAUGAUUCUCUCUCAAUACAUAGGUGCACUAAUGCAAAAAGAAAAGCUAUAUACUACCACGGUCUCACUGAUCGGGCGCGAUGCCCUUACCACGGUCCUCUCUCAACGGUCCUGUGCCUACCACUGGAAAUAGAGUGGGGUGAGAACUAUCUUCUAUAGUUCCCAGUGGGCUUGGCCGCCGACACUGCCGAUCUCCCCACUAGGUCCAAAUGGGCACAAGUAACAACAGAUAGAUAGAUAGAUAUGUACCUGAAAACUGUAAAUGCAAUAGUAGAAAAACUAUGCUACUAUGCCCAUAAUCAUGAAUAUGAAUGCAUGCAUCAUAUAAUAAAGGUUUGCUAUCAUGCUAACAAAUUCGAUCCAUGUUCGAAUAGCAAUGUUCAAAGACAUUAAUAAACCUUUAACCUUUCCAUUUACCCAAUCUGUGGCGAGGCCCUAGAGCUCGCCCAUAACUCACCUUUCAAUCCCAAAGUGGGGAGGGAGCUCCAAGUACACCCAAGCCCGGGACCGUUUGCGGACCUCCAUGUGGUUCGGACCUCCAAGUGGUCCUAGUCGCGCGACACUCCGGAGUACUCGAUGACAAUCCCCUCCAUGUGGGGAUUGGAUGGCUAUACCACCCCAAACGCAGACUGUGAGCUAGAUCUAUCCUCUCCAGGUGAGGACACACUAUUACUAGGGUCAACAGCCCAAUCCAAUCCUCUCCAAGUGAUAGAGCACUAUAAACUAGGGUCCGCAACCUAAUCCAAUCCUCUCCAAGUGAGGAGGCACUAUCACUAGGGUCAAUGUCUCAAUCGACUCACCAACAACCUCUCCAUGUGAGGCUACUUAGAUUUACUAAGUUCUUGUUCACAAGGCAUUUUCUAAGAGAUCCACCUAUCCCUAGGUUCUCAAACCUCUAGUGUUAUUUACACUACAUUAAUACCACUCGUCAUCAUUUAAUGUUUGGAUGCCACUCGUUUGUUCUUUAACAUUAGCACUACUUUCUAUGCCAUCAACACCCCCAUCGGGUUCACCUCUUUUCUUUCGCAUUAUAGGAUCCACGUUCCGACCCAAUCCUCACCUAUCUAAGUUACCAAGCGUUCCAAGUACACUAGGUUAUCAUUUAGAAAGCAUAAGGAAGGGAGCUACUAUGCAAUCCUACAAUGCAACAUGUAAGAGAUGAGAUUAAAUGCAAUCUAAGACAUAGAAAGGAGUUCGAAAGCUUCGGGAUGGCACCCCCCACCUUUAAUCGAUGUAGAGGCUUGGGAAAUCCUUCUCGGCGAACCUUAUGAAAAGGCUUUAGCCUUCCUUGCCCGAGUUAAUGCUAUUUCGGCCCUAUUUCGCCGAUAAUUUCACACCGGAUCGCCGAAUGUUAAAACCGACUUCGCCCCCACGUUUUGUGACCUACCAAUAGAGUUUCCAAGGCUUCAAAUGAGAUCAAUCUCAUAUUUUCACGAAAACCCCAUUUUGGAGCCCUAGGUUUGCACCUAUAGCAAACCACCAAUAAAUCCCUAAAUUCAUGGGAUCGAUUUACUUAGAAGCAUGCUUAGGGUCCAUUUGACCCAUUCCAAAGCAUAAAAACCCAAAACCCCAAAUUCUAGAAACUAGGGUUCAAGAGCUUACCUCUUGUGCUACACCAAAGAGAAGGGGAAAGGGAGAUGAAGGUGUCCAAAGCCUUCUUCUUGAUCUCCUUCUUCUUCUUUUCCUUCCUUUCCUUCUUGUUCUUCUUCUUCUCCUUUCCUUUCUAGAGAGAGAGAGAGCAAGAGAGAAAGAGAGUGAGAGAGAGGGAAAUGAGAUGAGAUGGGCUGAGGGGAAGGGUUAUUUCCCAUAUACAUCCCUCACAUAAUGGCCAUUUUGCACUUAAACCCCUCAACUUUUCAUCUCUCACGCAAUUGCCACUGGGCUGUUUUCGCCCAGAGGGACCGAUCUCUGGUCGGGGAGACUGGUCCCCGAGAGCAAAAAUCUGCUGAGUCCAAAUUUUGCUUAUUUGCUCUCGCGGACUCAACUCCAAAGCACUUUUUUGUGUUUUGGACAUUUUCAACUCCCACAAAGGGUAUUCUCUCGACAGUUAGUCGAUCCCGGAUGAAGUACAAUCCUCGAAUUUCGAGAAUUCACUUUCUUACAUCACUUCCCCCAUAUCAUUUAGAAACCUACACUUGACCCCCUUAUAAAAUGAAAAAUGUUCACUUUACCCCUACCGUUAGUAAUCCGUUAGACUUUCGUUAUAAACUAUUUUUUUAUGCCAAAAAAAUCCUCCGCCCUCUCUACUGUGCUCCGCCCUCCUCUGCCUCGCCGCAUCGCCGUCUCGCCCCCCUUCACUGCGUCGCUCUCGCCCACAUCUCUGUCCGCACCCACAAAUACCCUCUCGCCCUUCUUUGCCGCCUCGUCUUCGCCCUCGUUGCCCUUGCCCACCUUUCCAUCCACGCUCACCUCGAUUUCCCCCCUAUUGUCACCGAAAUAGAGGGGCGACGAGAGUGCAGAAGGAGAAGGGGAGCAGGUGAAGAAGAAAAUGGAGAGGAACUGCGGCCGAUCGAGACGCGAACCGCGGCCGAUCGAAGCAACGGAUGAGCAAGAUGAGAAAGAAAACGAAAAUAGUAAAGGGCAAAAUGGUCAUUUUGUCAUCACAUUUCACACUGUACCCCCUGUGAACAAUUUUCACUUUAUAAGGAGGCAAAGUAUAGAUUUUUAAAUGACAGUUGUGAAAAGUAAAAAAAUCAAGUUUUGACAAAGAAAUUUUAUGUAAUUUAUCCAAAUAAUUUUUAACUUAUCUGAUUUAAAGGAUUAAAUAGCACUCUUUAUUGAUCGAAUAGAUCGUUUUGACCGCACUUUUAAAUCACUUGGUAACAGUGUAUGACCGCACUUUUAAAUCACUCGGUAACAGUGUAUGCAAGCUAAUCUAAACUUUAGAUUGCUUUUUUUAAAAAAAAUUAAUUUUAUAGUUUAAAGUUCUAUUUUAUUUAAUUUAAUUAUUUAUUAAUUUUAAAGUAGGGUUAAUUGCAUAUAGGUCCCCGCAAACAUGGUGAAUUACAGAUAUAUCCCUGCAAAGUUCAACUUUCAUAAGUUAUCUGUGCAAAAGUCAUAAUGUAUUCAGAUAUAUCCCUGCCAAUAGGAUCUGUUAAAGAAAUUUAGUUAACCACAGUUAAAAUACUUAACCAUGGUUAAUUAAUAAGUUAAAUUGACGAAUUUACCCUGCUUCUUCUUCCUCUUCCUCUUCCUCUUCCUUUUCUUUUUCUUCUUCUUCUUCUUCCUUUUUCUUUUCCUUUUCUUUCUUCAAAUCGACAGCACCUUUGCCCUCUACCUUGUCGCUGUGGGCCUCAGCCUUGUUCUCGUCGGCCGCAACUCUGACAAGCUCUGCGCCGCCGCCGCCGCCCGUUCCCGUAACCCGAAAGGAAGAGAAAGAGAAAAAUGGAGAUUUGUGAGAGCAUUUCUGCAAAUGUAUACCAGUUGGAGUUUUGGAGGGACAUAUUUGUGAGGGCAAAAAUGUUAUUUUACGAACCUACUGUUAAAAUUAAACAGUUCUCUAACGGAUGCUAAUCAGAGGGAUAUAUCUGAAUACAUUACGACUUUUACAGAAAUAACUUAUGAAAAUUAAACUUUGUAGGAAUAUAUCUGCAAUUCAUCAUGUCUGCGGGGACCUGUAUAAAUUAAUUCUUUAAAGUAACUGGCCAUGGCAUCAUUGAACAAAAAAUGGAGAGAUUAUAAAAGUGAAUUAAAAAGUGAAUACUUUUCAUAUGACAAGCCGAUUCAAGAAUUAGUUAACAAUGUGCCACUCGGUGUGAUUAGAGAUCAAUGGACUAGUCUAAUAGCACAUUGGUCCACCGAGGAAAGUAAGGUAUAAACGCUUUAUGUUUAUAGCAAUGUUGCUUAAUUAUAGUGUUAUAUGUUCAUUUUUUAAAAAUUCUUUAUUUUUUAAUCAUAGAACCUUUGUCGAGUUAAUUCAAAUUCCGCAAAAUUAGUGAAGAUGGCGCACACAUCGGGCCGAAAAAGUUAUGCAAGGAAGCGAAAGGAAAUGGUAAUACCUUAACAUAUAAUUUUUUUUUUUUAAUAAUGAGUCAUUAUCUUUAUCAUUUAGAAAUUAUUAUUUACAAUUAUAUGUAGGAACUUGCUCUUGGCAAAGAACCGGAUCGGCUAACUUUUUGGGAGGUAACUCAUAAGAAAAAGAAUGGAAAUUUUGUGAAUAAGGAUGCGGAGAAUAGUUUGGUAAGUAUAAUUUUCUAUCGCAUUGUCAUAUUUACUAUUCAUAUAAUUAUGACAUAGUAAUAUUUUUUUCUCAAAUUGCUAAUAGGAUCUAGCACGUGCAAAGUUUGUUACUCUUUCACAAGGUUCCGAAUCUGACACGAACAAACUAAUGGACAAAGCCUUUCUAGAUAUUAUGGGCCCUGAACAUAAUGGACGUGUGAAAGGUUUAGGGUUGGGACCUACGCUAAGAUCAUAUUAUGGCGUGAAGCAUACAAAUUUACCUACAACAAGCGAAUCAAGAGAGGGUCAACCAGGAGAAGUAGAAAAGCUUAAAGAAGAAAUGCAAGAGAUGCGAGAUGAAUUGCAUCGACUUAAAACACUAUUUUCAGAUACAAUAUUGCUCAAUUCUCGAGUAUGCUAAAUUUUUAUCCUCAACAAAUUUUAUUGAUUUUUUCAUAUAAUUAAUAAUUUCUAUAUUGUUUGAUUCUUUUAGGUGGUUGCGGGCGAUAAUAAUUUGGUCGAUGCGCUUUCUCCGAAUAUUCAUUCAUCGAAUGCGAGUCACGAUCCUACAAAUGGAGGACAUAAAAAAAGCUAAUUAAUUUUUUGUAAACAGUUGACAACUCAAGUGUUGGCUAAUUUUGGAAGUGUUUAAACUUUUUCAUUACCUAUGUUGCUUCUAUGCUAUAGACAUUGAAUGAGGUCAUGUUUUGGAUUAUAACGUAUCUUGAAUUAUGAAUUUUUUGUGAAUGUGAACUUUAUUUGGUAUUGAAAAUUAUUUUGCUUGUGUUAUUAAUGUAUGUUGUAAAUUAAAUGUUAAGUUUGAUGUGCAUUUAUUAUUUGAUAUCAUAUGUUUGUCAAUGAAAUUGUAAUGUUAUGUGCAACAAAUAAGUAUUGAAUUAAAAUUUUUUAUACUAUUUCUUACGUAGAGGCGGUUCAAACCGCCUCUAAAUAUUAUUGAUUGUUUGCUUAUCUGUAGAGACAGUGGCAACCGCCUCUAGAGAGCAAACCGCACUAAAAAAUAUUAGAGGCGGUUUAAACCACCUCUAUGAUACGACAUUAAUAGAGGCGGUUUAAACCGCCUCUAUGAUACGACAUUAAUAGAGGCGGUUUAAACCGCCUCUAUGAUACGACAUUACUAGAGGCGGUUUAAACCGCCUCUAUGAUAUGACAUUAAUAGGGGCGGUUUAAACCGCCUCUAUGUUAUUAAAAAAUAAAAUUAAAAUCAUAAAAAAAUAAAUAAAAAAUUAUAUUGAGGUGGUUCAAACCGCCCCUAUCAGACCGCCUCUAGCAUUCCCCGGCGGUCGGUAAAACCGCCUCUACGGACGUAGAGGCGCUGUCUACGCCGGCAUUUUAGAGGCGGUUGCUAAAACCGCCUCUACAAUUCCUAGAGGCGGUUUAAACCGCCUCUACAGGCGGUAAAAACCGCCUCUACAGGAGGUAAAAACCGCCUCUACAAGCCUAUUUUCUUGUAGUGCCAUUUCGAGAGGAGGAUGAAGAGGAAGAUGAAGCUCCACCCACGAAAGCUAACGGCGGGGACAUAUCUGAAUACAUUAUGAGUUUUGCAAAAAUAACUUAUGAAACUUAAACUUUGCAGGAAUAUAUAUUUACAAUUCACUACGUUUGUGGGGACCUAUAUGAAAUUAACCCUUUUUUUUGUUCCUUCUUCAUUAGUUUCCUUUUCUGAAUUAAGUGUACUAGAAAAACUUUUGCCAAUUUAUAUAAAGCUAAAAAUUUUAUAAUUACAAGUUAAGACCAAAUUUGGUAUUGAUGUCAUUUUUUAUUUUUUGAGUAAAAUUUUUAUAUGAAAUAGUGUAGAAAAUAAUGGCGAAUUGCUUGCAAUUUUUCUUCCAAAGAAUUUUUUUGACAAUAAAAAUGCUGAAGUUGUAUUGCUCAAAUAGUGGAAAGCCUCUAUUCCAAGUCAUUUUUCCUCCCCUAUCUUCUUCAAAUAUUGUGACCCUCUUGUCACCAUCAAAUAUUGUGAUUCUUUUGGUACCAUUGUCUUGUACUAGGUUACGCUCACCGCUGCAACCUUACCUUUCACAUAUGUGUCAUAUCCAUGUGGGCAUCGGCGAAGGUGUGGAAGAGAUAAGAGAAAGGACACAACAUUAAUGUGAAGAUGAUGGAGGAGACAAAAAAGGUGAGAAAGCGAGAGGAGAAAAAGAAAAAGAAAUGAUGAGAAGGAGAAAGAUGGACUAGAGGAGAAAGUCGAAUGAGAGGGAGAAAAAGAAGAGAUGAAAAAAAAGAAAGGGUAUUUUUGUCAAUUUAUUAAAAAUUUAGAUCGAAUUUAUAAAAUUUAAAUAAAUGGCCUAUUUUUGUAAAAACUCAAAAUUGUUGAAUUUUUUUAUAUAAAUUUUCCAAAAUACAUUGGCAGAAAGAGAUAAGGUAAACUAGAUAUUUGUCCAUAAGCUAGGCUGCUAUACUAUCAGUAGCACGGAGGCAUCAUACUAUCAAGUUGUCUUCAAUAAUGUGGCUGUCAAAUCAACGAUCAGCUCUGUUAGAUUUUAUUUACACUAUUGAAAGUACUUAAAAACUAAAUUUCAUAAUUUUUCGAUAUUAUUUGGUUAGUGACAAAAGGUCUCAAAAUUGAUAAUUUUAAUAGUCAAUGUAAUGUGUUUAUGAAUUUAACGGUAUAAAAAAUUCAAAUCUGACAAAAUUUUUAUAAAUUUUUUUUCACUAUUUAAAGUAGGAUCAGUACCUCUGAUCUUAAAUUCAAGUAUUUUAGCAUUAUUUUUUAUGAAAUUUUUAUUUUCAGCCGUUCAUUUUUAGACUAUUUGUUAGAUAGAAAAAUAAUAUCAAAAAUUAUAAAAUUUAGUUAUCAAAUAUUUUCAAUAGUAUAGUUCAAAUCUAACAGAGCCGAUCGUUGAUUCAGAAACUGCAUUAUUGAAAAUAACUUGAUAGCAUAGAAGAUUGUAUAAUAGCCGGAUUCAUUUGUUCAUAAUAAUAUAUAUAGAUAUAAAAAAUUAAAUAGGAUUAAGGUAAAGAGGCCUAAGGAAUUUUAAAUUUUCUACAAUCAAUCACCUAGAUGUAUAGCUCUUCAACUUAAUAUAUAUUUAAAUUUUCUACAAUCAAUCACCUAGAUGUAUAGAUGUAUAGCUCUUCAACUUAGUAUAAUAUUAUGGAAAUACAAAAAAAAAAGAAGAGAGAACGCAUGUCAUGGAUAUACAUCAAUAACGCAUUAAUAUAUAUUUAAUCAACACAUUAAUUAAUAUUGAAUCAAUGUGAAACUUAAUUACGAUAAUUUAUAAAAAUCAAGCCCAGAAUUAUAAUAAAUUAAAAUUUAAGGCAUGCAGCUCAGAGUUUGGGGACCAAAAGAAUUGUAUUCUAAAUUUCUCAAUAAUAAACUAUAUUUAAUAAUUUAAAUUUAAAUUUUUAGAUCUCUCUCUCUCUCUCUCUCUCUCUCUCUCUCUGAUAUAUUAUCUAUAUAUAUAUAUAUAUAUAAAUAUAUAUAUAAAAGUUACUUGCACUUCUGUGCAAGCAAUAAUUUUUCUCUCUUUCUCUUUUGAGCACAUCAAAUUAACUUUCCAUUUUAUGCAUUAAUGUUUACAAAUCAAAAAGGAAUAGCUCUAUAGUUCUAGCCACAUAUGCCUAUUAUAUAUAUAUAUAAUAUAUAAAUAUAAAUAUAUAUAUAUAUAUAUAUAUAUAUAUAAUAUUAUUAUAUAUAUAUAUAUAUAUAUAUAUAUUAUAUAUAUUUAUAUAUAUGGGCUAAUAUAGUAACAAAUGGAGAAGGAUUCAUACAUGAUUCAUGCAUACAAACUAUUGCAAAAUAUAGUCAAUAUAUAUGUUCCACUGAAAAUAAAAAGAAAAAGAAAGAAAAAAAAACUAACUAAAUUGGGUAAUAUAUAUACCACUUAUAUAUUUAUAUUGCAACAACAUAGCCUAAAAUACCUCUUUUCUACUUUUGUGAAAGAAGAGUUUCAUUUUGUGCCCCUCUUUUGUGCUCUUCACAACUUAUACCUUACACUUUCUCAAAAUGGUGAUGAGGAGCUUCUUUGGUGAGUGUUUUUGUAGGAGUUGAGCAGCUGCCACUGCAAGCUGCCAACAUAGAAAAUCAAAAAAAAAAAAGAGAGAGAAAUUAAUGUGUUAUUAAUAUAUAUAUAUAUAUAUAUUAUAGUUAAUAACUUAUUAUAUAUAUUUUAUAGACCAAUUUGCAUGAAAAAAUUUAUUAAAUUUAUAUUUUUAUAAAAAUAGACCUCUUUUUCUCAUUAGGUCUAAAUUUUUAAUGAAUUAAUUAAAAUAAUUUUCUUUUUUUUUUCUCUCUUUUUUUUCUCGUUUAUUUUUCUUCUUCUUUUUCGUCUUCUUUAUUUUUACUAUUCUUUCCGAUCAUACUCUUUAUACUUUCUCUCCUUUUUUUUUUCUCUCCCAUUCUUAUUAUUCUUCUAUUUUUUACUCGUCCUACUUUCUCUUCCUUUUUCUUCUUUAUUGUCCUCGUGUCGAUGUCACACUACUUUUUCCUACCUUAUAUACCUACACCUCCGUCGCAAUUUUACUUUCACGAUUUGUGUCAUAUCCAAGCUACAUCAUUGCUGCUUGUGUAUGCAAAGAUAUGAACGAAAUAGGAGAAAGAAGCGUGGCGGCACGAGGACAAUAAAGGAGGAGGAGGGAGAGAAAAUGGGAAGAGAAAUUAAAAAAUGUCGAAAAGGAAGGAGACAAAGAGGAAGGAGAAAAAAAAAAAAAGGAGAUAGAAAGAAGAAUAAAAAUAUUUUGAACAGUUCAUUAAAAUUUUGAAUCUAAUUUAUAAAAUCUUAAAAAAUAACAUAUUUUAGCAAAAAUAUAAAACUAUGAAAUUUUUUAUACAAAUUAUGAAAUAUAGUGAAUAAUAAAUAUAUGCAUAUAAAGUUCAAUUUUCAAAUACAUUCCUGCCGUUAGAAUUCAUUAGAAAAAUUUAGUUAAAUACUUAAUCUUAGUUAAUUUUUGACAUUUUUAUUUCUCUUAUAUUAUACUGUUAUGCAUUUUGUAAUAAAAGAGAUGAAUACAUAUUUGAAAAUAUUAUAACUUGUAUAGAAAUAAUAUAUGAAAGUUGAACUUUAUAAAAAUAUAUUUGUCAUUCAAUGUAUAUAUAUAUAUAUGUAAGAACCUGAAUAAAAUUAAUCGUAAAAUGAAAUAUAAAAGCAAUGUAAUUAAUCACCUCCUCAUAUUGUUUCUUGAGCUUGGCGUUCUCCUCGAGCAAAUGGGCGACCUCGAUCUCGAGCUCGUUGGUAUAAGCCUACCAAUACAACAACAAAUUAAACAAUGGAUCACGUAAACUCAUUUAGUUCGUAUGGUACAAGAAAAAAGUAAUUUUUAAAAAUUAUAUAUAUAUAUAUAUAUAUAUAUAGUAGGGCUAGAAUACUUGUAAAAGUAUUAUGGGGGGUGAUACUUGUGUGUUUUUAGUCCUUGGAUGGAAAGAUAUGAGGUUGAGAUGAUGGUGAUAGAUGGUGGUAGGUGAAAUAGUAUUUAAUCCAAGGCUAUUAAUAAUCAAAAAGUAGAUCCAAUGGCUUAAAAUCUAAUAGCUAAUAGCAUCAUGAUGAUGAUACUUGUAAAAGUAUCAUAGCUCAACUAUAUAUAUAUAUAUAUAUAUAUAUAUAUAGUGGGCUGGUAUGCUUAUGGAAGUAUAAAAUAUAUAGUAUAGAGCUACUGUGCUAUUGGAAGUAUAAAAUAGUUGAUGCCUGUUUCCGGGCGCGGGAGCGUGCGGCCGACUCCCGGUUCUUGAUCAUGCGCUUGUGCCGGUGGUCUCUGGUACUACUACCGCCGGUACUACUGAAGCCGGAGCUGCUGUUGGCGGGGCAGAAAUACGCAUCGAAUUGCGGGGCGUGCGGUGGCGCAGCAGCCGUCAUGCUGGCGUUAGUGUCGUUGAAGUCUGCCGGCGCGGAGUUCAGGCAGAGGCCGAGCCCUUCGGCGGGAGACGGCGGCAGCGGCGUCGGCGGCGGCAAGACGAGCGGGCGGUUCAGCGGGCCGGCGAGGAAGUCUUGCAGGCUCGCGUCGUCGCAGCUCGGAUUCGACGUGCCGAGAUCGAGAGAGGUGGAGGCAGUGGCGGCGGUGACGGCGGAGAGGGCGAUGUCUCGCCAUAGCUCCUCCAUUUAUGGUUUUGGUCUACUUGUUAGGAUUGUAAUAGAGGAGGAGGAGGAGGAGGAGGAGGAGGAGGAGAGGGGUGUAUGGACAAUGUAAUUGAUGUAAUUGUUGCCUGCUAGUCUUGUUGUUACUGCUGUUGUUAUCAGGGGUAAUGAGUGAGGCUACUAUGCUUCUGGAAUCACGGAGCCUUCCGUAUUUCUAGGUCGUUUUCGAUAUUGCAACUUUCGAAUCGUCGAUCGGCUUCGUUAAACUUGAUCUAGAGUAUUUGAAGUACCUAGAAAAUAAAUUAUACAAUUUUUCAAUAUUAUUUGCCUAGUGAACGAAGGGGCUCAAAAUCAACGGCUGAAAAUAAAAAUCAUACAAAACAUGAUAAUAUGACAUUAAAGUUUUAAAUCAAAGGUAUUGAUCUUGUUUUAUAUCGUAUAAAGAAUUUUCUACCAAAAUUUCACGUGAUUUGGAUAUUUCUACACCGUUAAACUUGCAAACGGCUCACUACGGCCGUUAAAAUUAUUAAUUUUGAGCCCCUUCGAUCACUAGGCAAAUGAUAUUGAAAAAUCAUAAAAUUUAUUUUCUAGGUACUUCAAAUACUCUAGAUCAAGUUUAACGGAGCCGAUCGACGAUUCGAAAGUCGCAACAUGAAAAACGACCUGAAAACACGGAGCCUUACAUGCUUCCAAAAGCAUAGUAGCCUCACACCAGGGGUAAUUGCUUUUAUAUAUAUAUAUAUAUAUAUAUAUAUAUAUAUACCACCUAAAAAUUUUCGACUUUCUGAUUUAUUUUUUUUAAAAAACUAAUAUUAAAAAUAUUCGUUUUACGUUGCAAUCUAUUUUAAAUAUGUCUUUAGGGUGCGUUUGGUUCGCACUAUAAAAAAUUAUUAGUAGUAAAAAGAUGUUUGAGAAUUUAUUCUUAUUCAUUCUAUUACUAAAAAUAUGGUAUUCAUGUGUUUAGUUUGUACGGUCAUAUUAUUUAAUCAUAUUAUUUAAGAUUACAAAAAAUAUACAAUUUAUUUAUUUAUUUAUUUAAUUAAUUUUCGAUAAUGCUAUAAAAAAUUUCAACAUUCUUUUAGAAAAAAGUGAGAGAGAAUAUAUGUUAGAGAGAGAGCAUAAUUAAAAAAAUAGGAAGAGAAAUAGAGUCGAGGUAAGAGGGAGUGAGAGAGUUGAGAUUUUAGAAAAAAAUAGGGGGAGAGAAAGCUUAGUUUAGAGAGAAAAAAAAGAAUUGAAGUUUAAAAAAAAAAAAAAUUUAGAGAGAGAUAUCAGGUUAGAGUAUAAAAGAAAAUAAUACCAACUAGCCAGCGAGUAGGAAGAAAGAAAGAAAUUUGACAUAUUAUGAUUAUCCUAAUCCAUUAAUAUGAGGAUACCUACACUCCCUCAAGCGAAUGAGAUUAGUACUUUGAGAUGAAUCUCAUUCUCAAGUAAAUCUAAUAUUACCAACUAGAUUACUUAGUACAUUUAGCCAAACACUGUCAUAUUUUUUUAUUCCUAUUGGAUUAAUUAAUAGGAAUCUUAAAAAGACAGUGCGAAUUACCAAAUGCAUCUUUAGAGUUAAAUUAUGUUAGCAAUAUAUAACUGUUAUCUCUAUGAAAUUACUAUUUUAUUCUUUCAAAUAUAUAAUUUUACUAUCACCGGCUUUUCUUAUUUGUCCUUAAAUUACAAAUACAAAAAUUAUUUUAAUUUUUGACCUUUUCAAAUAUAUUCCGUUACCAUCACCAACAUUUUUUAUUUGUCCUUAAGUUAAGGAUAAAAUAGGUAUUUGAUUUUUUUUUAACUCUCGUAGAUAUUUAACUUACAAGAUAGUAACUAUAGUAGUAUUUUGAAAUAACGGAGAAAUAUAUAAGAAAUAUAUUGAAUAGGAAAAAAAUAAAUAAAUGAAAUAUUUUUUAAAGCUUUUGAGAGGGAUAUUGACAAUUAUUCCUUGUGAUUGUUAUUAUUGUUGUCGAUUGUGCUGCUCUGCGGGGACAAAAAUUUUAUGGGCAUCGAUGCCUGGAUGGGCGCCGCGUGUGCAGCGGCGCCUAUCCGCACCCUCCCUUCCCCCUCUCUUUCUCUCUCUUCCUAAAAACCAAGCCCACCAUUUUUUCUUUUUUUUUGAGGGUGGGGAUGGGCGCCGCUACACACGCAACGCCCAUCCGGACAUCGUGCCCAAACAAAUUGUUUGGGCACGAUGCCCAUAAAAUUUUUGUCAGCUCUGCGGAGUACCACCACAAGGCUACAGUUUAAUUUGAAAUGUCAAAAAAAAAAAAAAAACCCAAAACAAAAAAAAGUUUAGGAUUAACAAGUUUUGAGAAUCUUUGCUUUUAAAAAUAUAUAAGUAUUUGUGCUUGUAAUUUUUUAAUCAUCGAAUUGUCUAAAUAUUUGAAUAAUAUUAUUAAUAGUAUGUUUUAUUAAGGCUUUUUUAUUAGUGUUGUAUUGAUCUUGAAGUGAUCUGAUAGUUAAAAAAUUAUAAACACAAAUAUCAUGUUCUUUUAACAAGGAGAAAUGAGGUGUUUGAUUUUUCAAAAACAAUUUUUUUGCUAAAGAAAAGAAUUUUUUUGUAUGCAUAGCUUAGAAAAAAAAAAUGGUUUUUAUAUCUAAAUAUUAAUGAAAAGUAUUCUUUUUUGUAAUUUCUUUUUAGAGAAGGCGAACAUAAUCCAAAAAAGAGUGGGUUUAGUAACGUGGGGUUUUGUCUUUUUUUGUUUUUAUUGUACUUCCAAAAAAAAAGUAGGCCAAUUUGCAUACAAAAUUUACAAAUUUUGAGUUUUUGUAAAACUCGGCCGUCUUUUUCGAUUUUGCAAAUUGGGUUCGAAUUUUUACUAAACUGACCAAAAUAUUUUUAUACAUUUUUCUCUCUUCUUUGUUUUUUAUCGCGUUCUUUUUUGUUUCUUGCCGAAAAAAGCGACAGAGACGAAGGCGGAAACGGUCCCCACCAUCUCUGCACCUCACACUCUCACCCUCGCCCGCACACCCCUCGCCCUACUCUUCUCCGACCCCACCAAAGCAGUGCUGCGACCUUUUUUUUUUUUUCUUUCUGACCCUCCUCUACUGCCUCCAUGAUCCUCCGAAACGAUAAAGAGAAUGGCACCACGUUUUCUUCCUCCGACUACGCCCUCCGCCUUCAUUUUAAAGGGUGCAUACGUUUUACCUUUUGUUCUCUAGUGUUUUGAAUUUAGUUCCAAACUGCAUUAGUGGUACACGAAGGUACACGUAUCCACGUGUCAUUGCUUUUGUAGGAUCUGACUCGUUGAUGUCCUUGUCGUAGAACUAUUAUAAUAUGUAAUUAUAAAUGGAGUAAAAUAUAUAUAAUUAUAAGGAAUAAUUUCAUAGAUGCCCCUCUAGAAACUAUUAAUUUCAUCAAUACCCUUCCAAAAUUAAUAAUAUCACAAAUACCCUCCAAAAUGUGAAAAAUUAUCAUAAAUACCCUCCUCUAGUUAAGAUUCAUUAAAGCCCAUUUGAAUCGGAGUUAAAUUUUUAAAAUACCAUUUUUACCCUUUAUCUCUUUUUAAUAGUAGAAAUACUAAUAGGUAUUUCAAAAUAAUUUUUGUAAAUCUAAAUUUGAGUAUUUAAUAUAUAAAUAGUUAAUUAAAUUAUUAAUAUAUAUUAAUUAAUAAAAAAUAUAUAAAAAUUGUAUUUUAAAUAUAGUAUGUUUUUAUCUGAUUUUGGUUUUGUUUUUGGUUUUGGGUUUCGGUUCAGAUUCGGUUUAAAUAUAGACCAAAACUAUAUAACUGAAUUUACAUACGACGGGAUUUUAUUUUUUGGUAUCUAUAACUAAAACUAUCCCCUAUUCAGCAUUGAUUAAACUUAUCCCAUUUUAAAUCGAGUUUAGAUAAAAUUCCGUAUCUAUAUCAAUUCACAUUCCUAAUUAGUAAUAGUAAUUUUGAAAUAAAUUAUAGAUUUUAUUUUUUUCCUAUUUAAAAAUAAAUCACAUAAUUGUUUUGUCGAUUGAAAUAAAAAGAGAGUUUUGUUCAAAAGCUAAAAUAUAUUAUAUUUCAGUUUUUUAAUACACUUAAUGCAGAUAAAAUUAUCGAGAAUAAUUUUGAUUAAAAAAAUUUUUAAGUUUUCAAGAUUAAAGAAAGAUCGGAUAAUUCCUUAACAUUAUUUUCAUUUAAAUUUUAUAUAUAGUUAUUUAUUUGAUAAAAAAUAAAUAG